GCUUGUUGCUAACACUAGUUGUAUUUUUUGCGUGUUUCCCGUUUAGAUUCUGAAUGAAAAUGGAUCAACGACUGAAUUUUCUCGUUCGUCUUGAUAGUCUGAGGAUGAUGGCAUGGGCGGGAGGAGGAAGAAGGGCAUCAAGGAUAAGAUCAAGGAGAAGCUUCCGGGUGGCCACGGUGACCAGCAGCAGACCGCUGGCACCUACGGGCAGCAGGGUCACACAGGAAUGACCGGCACUGGGGCGCAUGGCACCACGGCCACUGGCGGCACCUACGGGCAGCAGGGAGACACCGGAAUGACCGGCACGGGGACGCACGGCACCGACGGCGCCGGCGAGAAGAAAGGCAUCAUGGACAAGAUCAAGGAGAAGCUGCCCGGACAGCACUGAGCCCGUCCCACGGCAGCUACUUGAGAGUUGAGGUGCCGAUCUGGCCACCUUUGCAGAAUAAUAAGAUGGAGAUGCAGUAAAACAUCCCGAAAUAAAGUGAGCUAGCUCACUUGUAAUAUCUGAGUUCUGAGUUUGCUGCACUAGAAUUUGGGUUGCUUGUAUGUGCCCGGGACGUUUUGUACUCUGUACUUCGAUGUGUGAUUUUUUUUUGGUUUCACUGUGUAUGUAUGGGGAUGUGUAUCGUGGUAUAAUACAAUAUAUUUUGCCCUUUUACUUGAGCAACUUUUGAAAAUUUCUAGGCAAUUUUUGGAAGUAUCGAAAAAUAAGGCACACCAAAAAUACACAUACAGAUCUUGAAUUUACCAACUCAGAGGAUGUCGCAUGCGCUGUGGAUCGUUAAUGAACGGCACUGUCGGAGAUCAACAAAACAGAGUGCAUAGCGACCAAAGGAAAAUCCGCACCACCGAAAGUUUUCUUCUAUGCUCGAGCUCACAUGCACACUGAUGAAUAGUAAAAUAUAAAUAAAUAAAUUUUAAAGAUCUGAUUUUUUUUACACACACCGAUGAAUGUUUUACCUACCUGCAAAGUUUUCAUAAUGGAUUGAUAUUUGUGGUGGUCAGGGCAAUAAAAACAAAAUCAAUGCUUCAAAAUUAGUCUUUUUGGAGCAUUUGAUUUUUCGUUUUGCCCAGAGCUCCACGAAAGUGAUUUCAUCACGAAAGUUUGCAUGCAUGCAAAACAGUUAUUAGUGUUUAUUAAAAACGGACAUAAUUGUUUGAUUUUUCUUUGAUUUUACUGUUCAUAUGGGUGCAUAUAAGCUCGGGAUUAGAAGCUCCAUGUUCACCCACCAUUUAAUUGAUUCAUACACAAACUUUUUUUCUCGAAUACAUAUGAAUGUGCGUGCUUUAUAUUAAAGAAGAGAGGGGGGCGGCAAAGAGCCCUUCCACGACGGGUUUAGUAGUUCUUACAUACAGCCAACUCCAUGCCCACUCCACGUCUAAGUCAAUCUAUUGCUAACUCCUCGCGUCACUACCCACCGUUAGAGCUACUAAGAAACUAUCAAUGUCCGUCUUGAUAAUGCCCGCCGUCUUCCAUGAUCUACGCUCAACCUCUAUUCUAUGAAUUAUGCUUUUCAAAGACAGUGUGGCGCCGUCGAAUACGAUCGCAUUGCGGUGCUUCCAUUCAAGAACAACAAAACGAUCCACUAAUCUCUAGAUUAAGAGUAUGCAUCCCCAUAAGUUCAUCCACCAUGCAACUCAACAAAAAGCUCGUCUCGCUACACCUCCAACAUGCAACAACGUGCAUCACUGUCCACCCUAUACGCCUCAGAAGCGACAGUGCUCCAACACCCCUUGAGAUAUUAUGUGCCCCGAUCUACAUCCUCCCUCCCCGAGGCGCUCCCGCGGGCGCCCCGGGAGAAAACCCUAGCGCCGCCCCCUUCGCCUCAACCUCCUCCCUCGCUGCCGCCUGGGGCGUCACCGGCGAAAGGCCGUGUGGCGUUGGUCGCGGCGGGGCGGCUCUCUCCCGCACGUAGUUGGGACUCCGCGGGGCGUUCCCAUCUGCCUGGUGGUGCCGGGCGUCGGGCCGGCCCUGCCUCCGCUCCUUCUCCCCUCCCAGCAUCCCUCGCUGGCGCCGCCUCAUCCCCUCUGUCGGUGUCAAAACCGGCGGAUCUCGGGUAGGGGGUCCCGAACUGUGCGUCUAAGGUCGAUUGUUUGCAGGAGACGGGGGACACGAUGUUUACCCAGGUUCAGGCCCUCUUUAUGGAGGUAAUACCCUACUUCCUGCUUGAUUGAUCUUGAUGAAUAUGAGUAUUACAAGAGUUGAUCUACCACGAGAUCAUAAUGGCUAAACCCUAGAAGUCUAGCCUGGAUGACUAAGGUAAUGAGUCUCCUCCUAUCCGGACUACGCUCUCCGGUUUAUAUAGGCACCGGAGAGAUCUAGGGUUACAUGGAGUCGGUUACAUAGAAAGGAAUCUACACGAUUGAUCGCCACGCUUGCCUUCCACGCCAAGGAGAGUCCUCUCCGGACACGGGAGCCGUCUUCGGUCUUCGUAUCUGUACAGCCCAUCAGUCCGGCCCACGGAUAACAGGCCGGACGCCCGAGGACCCCUUAGUCCAGGACUCCCUCAGUAGCCCCUGAACCUGACUUCAAUGACGAGGAGUCCGGCGCGCAGAUCUGUCUUCGGCAUUGCAAGGCGGAUUCCCUUCUAUCCGGACCCCAAGGUAAUCUUCAGAUGUAACAAUUGUAUCCGGACCUGUAUACAUAACUGCAGAGGAUAUAUAAUAUUUCACGAGUCCGAUCCGCUGGCAACUUUUCGGUAAUAUGACGUCACACCUGCUCGGCCAUUAUUUUCGAAUCGUUCUGGCUGGCCCGCCGUCCCACGUUUCGAGACGUGGUUCUAUUGGCACGUCUUAUCCAAGCGGCGAUCAUGUCCUUCUUUUAAGGGAUUCUUAUCAACCCAGACAUGGGUAAUCCAACCGUCACUUGGGCACAACUGCUUGGGAAUGGGCAAGUUUUGAGGCCCAGGAGGAGACGUUCGAUAUUUGCGGUCUUUAUAUAGGGGUACAGACCCGUCUUUUUCUUUCACGCUUGCUUCUCCCUCAACCCCCGCUACCUCGAGUUCCAACACCCGGGUUUCAAUCUCCACAAGCUCCAAUCAUGUCCGGAUCCAACCGUCAAGGCCGGUGGGUGGCUUCUUCUAUCACAGAGGGAGAGAUCGCAAAGCUUCGGGCGGCGAGGUACUUGACCGCGGAAAUCCUUCAUCGGCUUCCUGCAGAGGGGUAGGUUAUUCCCACUCCCAGAUCCAGCGAGAGGGUCGUGUUCGUGUCCCACUUCCUACGCGGGUUAGGGUUUGCACUUAACCCCUUUGUCCGGGGGCUCAUGUUCUAUUAUGGGCUAGAUUUUCAUGAUCUGGCCCCGCACUCAAGCCUUCCUCCGAACUCCUCCGCACUUCGGCUUGUGGCUCAAGACCUUCAAGGUGGAGCCGCUAGUGACAGAGGGGGAGCAAGUAGAGUGCGGCGGCGCCGUAGUGAGCAAGCUUGCUAGCGCUGUUUGGCUGAAAGGAUCCUUUGGCAAGUCUUCAGAUCUGUGGCAGCAGGGGUGGUUCUACAUCAUCGAACCCCGUGGCUCCAAGUGGGCAGCUGCACCCGCAUUUCGAUCCAGCCCCCCAACUCAGCCUGCGUCGUGGAUCAAUAAGGGGUUGGACUGGAGAGCAACGGACGAGGUGCAGACUUUGCAAAGUCGCAUCCGAAACCUCAUUGAGAGGGACAUCAACAUCGUCAACGUUGUCCAAGUAAUGCUGGACCGCCGGACCCUACCGUUCCCGUGAGGGCCACUCCGCACGUGGGAGUUCAAUCCGGAAGGGCCGCGGACUCUUCAGCACUUCUUCGGCACUACACACGAAGGAAUGUGGAGAUUAUUCUUCGGGAAACGAAAACAAUGGCCGGACACCACCGAAGAUAUCGGCCUUGACUGCAGCCAUCCGGACACCCCGGUAAGUACCCGUUUGCCGAACACCUCAUAAUCAGAUACCCAUUGAUAAGAUACUGACUGAAUCAUCCUUUUUCAGGGCUGGAUAAAGAAAGUGGAACGGAUUAGGUGUCCGGCUCCCCUUCCCGAAGACUCAGCUACUCCUAUGUUAACAAGGAUGCUGGCCUCGACACCGUAUCAGGCGCCGGCGAGGGGGGUAAAGAGGAGAGUAAAAAGACCCAAGAUGACCUUCGUUCCGGAGGUAAGUCAGAUACUGAGUCGGGAGAAAUCGACCUUUCCUCGCCUGAAGACAGAGGCAAAAAAGGACCCAGCAUCCCUUCUCCGAGUAGGAGGAAAAGGGCCGCCUCUGAAGAUUGGGAGGGGCGGUCUCCCAAGAAGGGCAAGAUGCCACCGUUGAGAGGCUUGGGCUUGGAAAGCGACGCCGUCGAACGGCUCCAACAAGGGGACAAGCCCUCGGCCAAACCGUAAGUGAAUCCGGAGUACUUUGACAAUGUCCCGCUCCGUCGCUAUCGCCGAAGAUAUACGUGACGCGUUCAUGCAUUUUUACAGGUCGGCACAGAGUUUUUCUGGGCAAUCCUCUUCUUCGGGAAGUCUCCUCCCAGAGAUGAUGGAGAGCGAGAUGCCUCCUCCAACCUCCUCUCCCAGUAAGGCGGAUGACUCUGAAGUGUCAUCGCGGAGGGUCCCGGUUAGUCAACAGGUUACACCGGGGAAAGAAGAGGUAGUAACCGAAGGUGGAUCUCCAACCAUCCGGGAUUCUGGGGCUGAUGAUAACAAAGGCCCCGGACUGUCUGGCCCGCAGCCGACAGCGAUUCUGGAGAUGGGUGAACAGAUUCCUUCAAAGGAUGGUCGGGCUUCUAGAGCGGCUUCCGAAGACCCAGAGACUCCGGAUAUAUUGCGGGACAUGUUGGGAAAAGCAUCUGUCUCGGGAGAGCAGCGUACCUUGAUGGGUACAUUGGUUGAGAAGACUUUGUCCGCGAAGAGCGGUUUGAAUGAAGCCUUCAUGAGCCUGCUAAAAGGCUUCGAGGUUUGUGAUCAAAUAUGUUUUAUUUGCAAAGAUGUGCCUGUGUAUAGGUAGUAGCCCCUGAGACUCGGGUUGGCUUCCACUGGGAAGCAACCGGAGGAUCAAAAAAAUGAUCGUUUGAGGACUAACCUGAUAAACUUGAACACAGGCUGCUUCCCCUUUGGCCACUUCCUGGACUACGGAGAUUGUCGAGCUGCAGCGGAAGCUUGAUGUGGCAGGGGAUGAUCUUGCAUUAAUCAAUAUGCGUCUUGACGAGUCGCAAGGUAUGUACUCGGGGUAAUCCCCAGACAUUUUAUGUGGUAUAAGCAUGAUGCUGAAAUCUGAAUGCUGGAAUAUGUGUGGCUGCAGAUGGUGCUGCCGCCAUUGAAGUUCUUCGAGCGGAGCUGGCUCGGGCCAAGGAGCAGGCCCGACAUAGCGAUGCUGCUGCCGAAAAGGCAUCGGCUGAGCUAAAAGCUGAACAAGCUGCACGGCGCCAAGAUGAGGAGAAGAUAUCCACGGUGGCGCUCGAACUGGAAAAUGCUACUGGCCGCUGCAAAUUUCUGGAGAAGGAGAAUAAAGCCUUAACGGCUGAACUGGACAAGGCCUUACUAGAGGAGAGGGAAGCUCAAUCGGAAUCCAGAGCAACCCUUGAGGAUGUUCGGCAGGCUAGGGAGAUUGUGGCUGGGAAGCCCUUUCUGCUGCAAACUAAGUUCGGUGACCCGAACUAUGCUCAGCUUAACGAAGUGUCGAGUUCUCCGGACGAGUUCUUGAACUUGUCGAAGAGUUCUUCCGAUGCGGCGCAAUAUUACCAAGUGCGAGAUGGGUAUGCAACGGAGAAGCUUUUUUGGUCGCAGUUUGGCACAUCAAAGCGCCCCCUGUUGCUCAAUGAACAGAUGUCCCAAUGGGCCGAACUUCAUCGGAUAUCCAGUGCUGCCAUGAAGGAUGUCAUAAUCCGGUUGUGGCCAACUGAGCCUAUUCCGGAUAGCUACUUUGGUUUGGUACAAAGACUUGUUGACGCGGUGCUGCAAAUCGAUGCUGUGAAGCGGUCAGCGUGCAUUGAAGGUGCACGGAUGGCCUUUGCCCGAGUCAAGACAUUCUGAGGAAAGAUGAAGGCCAUCGAUGUUGCGGCGAAGAGUCCACCCAAAGGCAAGGACCGUCCAGAACCGGAACAUUAUUUUGAAGAUGUCCUAGAGGCCGCCCGCUUCAUAGAGGGCCAGUGCUCGAAAGACAUAAUAUUUGAGUGAGGUGUAUCAAAAUUGUAGAAGAAAAAUUUAUAGUUAAUCUAUUUUCAUGUUUUGCUCGAAAGCUUGAAUUCCUCGUGUGUGGCCGUGUUAAUAUAAUCUGAAAGUUUUCCAGUCGUCAGCUUCAGCCCCCUUGUAGGAAGUACGGGGGUGUUCGGAAAGCAUUUAAUCACUCUUUAUCCAACGUCUUGGUCCAUGAAGGAGGUGAUAAUGCGGCGAACUAGGCAAUCGGACUAUAAGGCAUUAACACUUUCACUUAGCCAUAGGAGUUUUAUGGUGGGACUACGACAUAGCCCCUCGUAUGUAUGCGGCGUAUGAUGCCUUACAUAUUUGAUCUGAAACAGAUCCCUCGUGUGACAGGAGAAUCGCUAAGGAUUCCAAGAAGUCAUCAAGUGGUUGACCAGCUCUCGCCGCAUCAUGACAGUCAGUUUUCGGCUUUCUCUACCGAGGUCCUCAUCCGGUUUAGACCAGGGCACAAUCGCAGUAGUUCUCCCUUUACUACCCUAGCCGAUAGAGCGGAACGUAGGGUAGCAAGCACAGGAGCCGGGCAACCCAACUAUUGACCCAAGACAAUGAUUCGGAGCUGAUGCAUAUAAGGCCAAACUUGCGACGCCGAAGUACACUAUAGAGUUGUUCAGACUUUUACUGGCGACUCAUUUGUUCCCACACCGAGCCCCUGGCAUGUUAUGCCAAGGUAUUUCUGUGAAAUAACUGUAGGAGCCAUAUUUGUUGGAGAAACAACACGGAUUAUUAGUUCGGAUACUGUUUACUAGGACUGAGCGAUAUGCCAAUGAUCACUUAUGAUAUAUAAAAGCCAUCCUCCCGGCUAUUUGACAUGCUCGGGGUUGGAGGCGGAGGAACGGGCAUAGUACAGGCUCAAAAAAUAGAGAAUGCGGUCUACAAAAAGUUAUUUUGGACCUCCUGUCGCACGUCUGCGCCGCCAGUCGUCGGUGGGGGGAAUCCUUUAUGGAAAUGGCCCCGUAGGUGAGUGUACGGAUCCGGACUCCGAUAGAGCCAGUUUCAGAUGUUUAUCCUGUUCGUCACCUAUUUUUAAAAGGAUAGCGAAGGAAGAAAUAAAAAGAUAAUAAAUAAUAAUAAUAAAAAGUUAUUGGAGUGCUUGCAGGUUUGUCCGUAUUGUGAUUCCGCCAAUACCCAUGGUAUCUUGAUCCCCGGGUAUGCGUAGUACAAACUUUGUAGGUGCACGGAGUGGGCCGCGGAAGCCGGGUUGCUAUUUCCGUUCUAGGAGUAGUUGAUCCCCGGGUGGAGAUUGCUUCUAACCCCCGGAGUUUCGUUGGCGAACCUUUCCGUCAUUCCUGUCGCCUGGCGGCUUCUUCCCCUUCUGCUCGGCGUUGAGCUUGCCGGCUUGUUUGAAGACCCUGCAGUUUCUGUUAGUAUGAUUAGCUGGUUUGUCGGGGUGGCCGUGAAUCUGGCAGGGUCGGUCCAAUAUCAUGUCCAGGUUGGAUGGUUCGUCUUGUUUCGCCUUGAAUGGCUUCUCCCGUUGACCGGGCUUGGGAUUGCUGAAUCCGGCGUUGACCGCCGUGUCGCGUGAUCUUUCAUUAUCAUUGCGACUGUUUUUUUGCUUCGUCGUGGCUUGCCGUUGCCGUCUCGGAUUUCGGAAAUGCCCGGGUCGUUGGCGCUAUCGCUUCUACGAGCGAGUGAUACGUCUCCAACGUAUCUAUAAUUUUUUAUUGUUCCAUGCUAUAUUAUAUUCUGUUUUGGACAUUAUUGAGCUUUAUUAUACACUUUUAUAUUAUUUUUGGGACUAACCUAUUAACCGGAGGCCCAGCCUAGAAUUGUUGUUUUUUUGCCUAUUUCAGAGUUUCACAGAAAAAGAAUAUCAAACGGAGUCCAAACAGAAUGAAACCUUCGGGAACGUGAUUUUCGGAACGAACGUGAUCCAGAGGACUUGGACCCUACGUCAAGACAUCAACCAGGAAGGCACGAUGUAGGGGGGCACGCCUACCCCCUCAGGGCGCGCCCUCCACCCUCGUGGGCCCCACGUUGCUCCACCGACGUACUUCUUCCUCCUAUAUAUACCUAAGUACCGCCAAACUACCAGAUACGGAGCCAAAAACCUAAUUCCACCGCCGCAACAUUCUGUACCCGUGAGAUCGCAUCUUGGGGCCUGUUCCGGAGCUCCGCCGGAGGGGGCAUCUAUCACGGAGGGCUUCUACAUCAACACCAUAGCCUCUCCGAUGAAGUGUGAGUAGUUUACCUCAGACCUUCGGGUCCAUAGUUAUUAGCUAGAUGGCUUCUUCUCUCUUUUUGGAUCUCAAUACAAUGUUCUCCCCCUCUCUUGUGGAGAUCUAUUCGAUGUAAUCUUGUUUUGCGGUGUGUUUGUUGAGACCGAUGAAUUGUGGGUUUAUGAUCAAGUUUAUCUAUGAACAAUAUUUGAAUCUUCUCUGAAUUCUUUUAUGUAUGAUUGGUUAUCUUUGCAAGUCUCUUCGAAUUAUCAGUUUGGUUUGGCCUACUAGAUUGAUCUUUCUUGCAAUGGGAGAAGUGCUUAGCUUUGGGUUCAAUCUUGUGGUGUCCUUUCCCAGUAACAGUAGGGGCAGCAAGGCACGUAUUGUAUUGUUGCCAUCGAGGAUAACAAGAUGGGGUUUAGAUCAUAUUGCCUGAGUUUAUCCCUCUACAUCAUGUCAUCUUGCUUAAAGCGUUACUCUGUUCUUAUGAACUUAAUACUCUAGAUGCAUGCUGGAUAGCGGUCGAUGUGUGGAGUAAUAGUAGUAGAUGCAGGCAAGAGUCGGUCUACUUGUCUCGGACGUGAUGCCUAUAUACAUGAUCAUACCUGGAUAUUCUAAUUACUAUGCUCAAUUCUGUCAAUUGCUCAACAGUAAUUUGUUCACCCACCGUAAUACUUAUGCUCUUGAGAGAAGCCACUAGUGAAACCUAUGGCCCCCGGGUCUAUUUUCCAUCAUAUUCAAUCUCCCGACAACAACCUAUUUCUGACGCCAUUUUUACUUUGUUUACUUUACUUUGCAUCUUUAUCAUAAAAAUACCAAAAAUAUUAUCUUAUCAUAUCUAUCAGAUCUCACUCUCGUAAGUGACCGUGAAGGGAUUGACAACCCCUUUAUUGCGUUGGUUGCGAGGAUUUAUUUGUUUGUGUAGGUGCGAGGGGCUUGCGCGUGGCCUCCUACUGGAUUGAUACCUUGGUUCUCAAAAACUGAGGGAAAUACUUACGCUACUUUGCUGCAUCACCCUUUCCUCUUCAAGGGAAAACCAACGCAGUGCUCAAGAGGUAGCAAGAAGGAUUUCUGGCGCCGUUGCCGGGGAGUCUACGCAAAAGUCAACAUACCAAGUACCCAUCACAAACCCUUAUCUCCCGCAUUACAUUGUUUGCCAUUUGCCUCUCGUUUUCCUCUCCCCCACUUCACCCUUGCCGUUUUAUUCGCCCUCUCUUUUCCAUUUGCCUCUUUUUGCCUGUCUCCUGUUUGCUCAUGUGUUGGAUUGCUUGCUUGUCAUGAUGGCUCAAGAUAAUACUAAAUUGUGUGACUUCACCAAUACCAACAACAAUGAUUUCCUUAGCACUCUGAUUUCUCCUCUUACCGAUACUGAAUCUUGUGAAAUCAAUGCUGCUUUGUUGAAUCUUGUCAUUAAAGAUCAAUUCGCCGGCCUUCCUAGUGAAGAUGCCGCUACCCAUCUAAAUAGCUUCGUUGAUUUGUGUGAUAUGCAAAAGAAGAAAGAUGUGGAUAAUGAUAUUGUUAAACUGAAUCUAUUUCCCUUUUCGCUUAGAGAUCGUGCUAAAGCUUGGUUUUCAUCUUUGCCUAAAAAUAGUAUUGAUUCUUGGAAUAAGUGAAAAGAUGCUUUUAUCUCUAAAUAUUUUCCUCCCGCUAAGAUCAUCUCUCUUAGAAACGAUAUUAUGAAUUUUAAGCAACUUUCAUGAACAUGUUGCACAAGAUUGGAGAGGAUGAAAUUAAUGAUACGUAAUUGCCCUACACAUGGUUUGAAUUUAUGGAUGAUUAUACAAAUUUUUUAUGCCGGAUUGAAUUUUGCUUCUAGAAAUCUUUUAGACUCGGCCGCGGGAGGCACUUUUAUGGAAAUCACUUUAGGAGAAGCUACUAAACUCCUAGAUAAUAUUAAGGUUAAUUAUUCUCAAUGGCACACUGAAAGAUCUACUAGUAAAAAGGUGCAUGCGGUAGAAUAAAUUAAUGUUUUGAGUGGAAAGAUGGAUGAACUUAUGAAAGUAUUUGCUACUAGGAGUGUUUCUUCUGAUCCUAAUGAUAUGCCUUUGUCUACUUUGAUUGAGCAUAAUAAUGAAUCUAUGGAUGUAAAUUUUGUUGGUAGGAAUAAUUUUGGUAACAACGCGUAUAGUAGAAACUUUAAUCCUAGGCCUUAUCCUAGCAAUUCCUCUAAUAAUUAUGAUAAUUCCUACAACAAUUCUUAUGGAACUUUAAUAAGAUGCCCUCUGAAUUUGAGACUAGUGUUAAGGAGUUUAUGAAUUCACAAAAGAAUUUCAAUGCUUUGCUCGACGAAAAAUUGCUUAAAGUUGAUGAAUUGGCUAGGAACAUUGAUAGAUUUUCUCUUGAUAUUGAUUCUUUGAAACUUAGAUCUAUUCCACCUAAGCAUGAUAUCAAUGAGUCUCUCAAAGCCAUGAGAAUUUCCAUUGAUGAAUGCAAAGAAAGAACCGCUAGGAUGCGUGCUAAGAAAGAUUGCUUUGUAAAAGCGUGUUCUUCUAGUUCCUACGAAAAUAAAGAUGAAGAUCCAAAAGUUAUUGAUGUGUCCCCUAUUAAACCUUUGUUUAGAAAUAUGAAUCUUGAUAAUGAUGGGACUGAAUAUGAUCCACCUCUACCUAGAAGGUGUUCCAAAAAUUCGGAGUUUUUAGACCUUGAUGCUAAAAUUGGUAAAAGUGGGAUUGAAGAGAUCAAAACUCUAGAUAUUAAUGAACCCACUAUUUUGGAUUUCAAGGAAUUUAAUUAUGAUAAUUGCUCUGUGAUAGAUUGUAUUUCCUUGUUGCAAUCCGUUCUAAAUUCUCCUCAUGCUUAUAGUCAAAAUAAAGCUUUUACUAAACAUAUCGUUGAUGCUUUGAUGCAAUCUUAUGAAGAAAAACUUGAUUUGGAAGUUUCUAUCCCUAGAAAACUCUAUGAUGAGUGGGAACCUACUAUUGAAAUUAAAAUUAAAGAUCAUGAAUGCUAUGCUUUGUGUGAUUUGGGUGCUAGUGUUUCCACGAUUCCAAAGACUUUGUGUGAUUUGUUAGGUUUCCGUGAUUUUGAUGAUUGCUCUUUAAACUUGCACCUUGCGGAUUCCACCAUUAAGAAACCUAUGGGAAGAAUUAAUGAUGUUCUUAUUGUUGCAAAUAGAAACUAUGUGCCCGUAGAUUUUAUUGUUCUUGAUAUCGAUUGCAAUCCUUCAUGUCCUAUCAUUCUUGGUAGACCUUUCCUUAGAACGAUCGGUGCAAUUACUGAUAUGAAGGAAGGAAAUAUUAGAUUCCAAUUUCCGUUAAGGAAAGGCAUGGAACACUUUCCUAGAAAGAAAAUAAAAUUACCAUAUGAAUCUAUCAUGAGAGCCACUUACGAAUUGCCUACCAAAGAUGGCAAUACCUAGAUCUAUCCUUGCCUUUAUGCCUAGCUAGGGGCGUUAAACGAUAGCGCUUGUUGGGAGGCAACCCAAUUUUUUUUUGCUUUUUGCUUCUGUUUAGGAAUAAAUAUUUGAUCUAGCCUCUGGUUAGACUUGUUUUUAUGUUUUAAUUAGUGUUUGUGCCAAGUUAAACCUAUAGGAUCUUCUCGGAUGAUAGUUAUUUGAUUUUGCUAUAAAUUUCAGAAACUUUCUAUUCACGCAAAUAAUUGUUUAAAAUUACCAGAACGCGAUAAAAUAUUGAUUCCAAUUGCUGCUGAUCAAUAAAGAAAUUUUCUAGGUCGUCCUAUUUUGGCUGAAGUUUUGGAGUUCCAGAAGUUUGCGUUACUUACAGAUUACUACAGACUGUUCUGUUUUUGACAGAUUCUGUUUUUCGUGUGUUGUUUGCUUAUUUUGAUGAAUCUAUGGCUAGUAAAAUAGUUUAUAAACCAUAGAGAACUUGGAAUACAGUAGGAUUAACACCAAUAUAAAUAAAUAAUGAGUUCAUUACAGUAUCUUGAAGUGGUGUUUUGUUUUCUUUCGCUAACGGAGCUCACGAGAUUUUAUGUUAAGUUUUGUGUUGUGAAGUUUUCAAGUUUUGGGUGAAAGAUUUGAUGGAUUAUGGAAUAAGGAGUGGCAAGAGCCUAAGCUUGGGGAUGCCCAUGGCACCCCAAGAUAAUCUAAGGACACCAAAAAUCCAAAUCUUGGGGAUGCCCCGGAAGGCAUCCCCUCUUUCGUCUACUUCCAUCGGUAACUUACUUGGAGCUAUAUUUUUAUUCACCACAUGAUAUGUGUUUUGCUUGGAGCGUUUUUAUGAUUUGAGUCUUUGCUUUUUAGUUUACCACAAUCAUCCUUGCUGUACACACCUUUUGAGAGAGACACACAUGAUUCGGAAAUUAUUUUAAUACUCUAUGUGCUUCACUUAUAUCUUUUGAGCUAUAUAGUUUUUGCUCUAGUACUUCACUUAUAUCUUUUAGAGCACGGUGGUAACUUUUGUUUUAUAGAAACUAUUAUUCUCUCAUGCUUCACUUAGAUUCUUUUGAGAGUCUUAAAUAGCAUGGUAAUUUGCUUAAUCCUAAUAUGCUAGGUAUUCAAGACUAGUACAAACUUUCUUAUGAGUGUGUUGAAUACUAAGAGAAGUUAGAUGCUUGAUGAUUGUUUGAGAUAUGGAGGUAGUGAUAUCAAAGUUGUGCUAGUUGAGUAGUUGUGAAUUUGAGAAAUACUUGUGUUGAAGUUUGCAAGUCCCGUAGCAUGCACGUAUGGUAAACGUUAUGUAACAGAUUUGAAACAUGAGGUGUUCUUUGAUAGUCCUCCUUAUGAGUGGCGGUCGGGGACGAGCGAUGGUCUUUCCCUACCAAUCUAUCCCCCUAGGAGCAUGCGCGUAGUGCUUGGUUUUUGAUGACUUGUAGAUUUUUGCAAUAAGUAUGUGAGUUCUUUAUGACUAAUGUUGAGUCCAUGGAUUAUACACACUCUCACCUUUCCAUCAUUGCUAGCCUCUUCGGUACCGUGCAUUGCCCUUUCUCAUACUGAGAGUAGGUGCAAACUUCGCCGGUGCAUCCAAACCGCGUGAUAUGAUACGCUCUUUCACACAUAAACCUCCUUAUAUCUUCCUCAAAACAGCCACCAUACCUACCUAUUAUGGCAUUUCCAUAGCCAUUCCGAGAUAUAUUGCCAUGCAACUUUCCACCAUUCCGUUUAUCAUGACACAUUCAUCAUUGUCAUAUUGCUUUGCAUAAUCAUGUAGUUGACAUAGUAUUUGUGGUAAAGCCACCAUUCAUAAGUCUUUCAUACAUGUCACUCUUGGUUCAUUGCAUAUCCCGGUACACCGCCGGAGGCAUUCAUAUGGAGUCAUACUUUGUUCUAGUAUCGAGUUGUAAUCAUUGAGUUGUAAAUAAAUAGAAGUGUGAUGAUCAUCAUUUUCUAAAGCAUUGUCCCAAGCGAGGAAAAAUAAAAAAAUAAAAAAGGGGAGAAAGGCCAUAAAAAAGAAGGCCCAAAAAAAUGAGAGAAAAAGAGAGAAGGGACAAUGUUACUAUCCUUUUUACCACAUUGUGCUUCAAAGUAGCACCAUAAUCUUCAUGAUAGAGAGUCUUUUGUUUUGUCACUUUCAUAUACUAGUGGGAACUUUUCAUUAUAGAACUUGGCUUGUAUAUUCCAACAAUGGGCUUCCUCAAAUUCCCUAGGUCUUCAUGAGCAAGCAAGUUGGAUGCACACCCACUUAGUUUCUUUUGUUGAGCUUUCAUAUAUUUAUAGCUCUAGUGCAUCCGUUGCAUGGCAAUCCCUACUCCUUGCAUUAACAUCAAUAGAUGGGCAUCUCCAUAGCUCAUUGGUUAGCCUCGUUGAUGUGAGACUUUCUACUUUUUUGUCUUCUCCACAUAACCCCCAUCAUUAUAUUCUAUUCCACCCAUAGUGCUAUAUCCAUGGCCCACGCUCAUGUAUUGCGUGAAGGUUGAAAAAGUUUGAGAGUACUAAAGUAUGAAACAAUUGCUUGGCUUGUCAUUGGGGUUGUGCAUGAUGAGAGCAUUCUUGUGCGACGAAAAUGGAGCAUGACUAAACUAUAUGAUUUUGUAGGGAUGAACUUUCUUUGGCCAUGUUAUUUUGAGAGGACAUAUUGCUUAGUUAGUAUGCUUGAAGUAUUAUUAUUUUUAUGUCAAUAUUGAACUUUUAUCUUGAAUUUUUCGGAUCUGAAUAUUCAUACCACAAUUAAGAAGAAUUACAUUGAAAUUAUGCCAAGUAGCAUUCCACAUCAAAAAUUCUGUUUUUAUCAUUUACCUACUCGAGGACGAGCAGGAAUUAAGCUUGGGGAUGCUUGAUACGUCUCCAACGUAUCUAUAAUUUUUUAUUGUUCCAUGCUAUAUUAUAUUCUGUUUUGGACAUUAUUGGGCUUUAUUAUACACUUUUAUAUUAUUUUUGGGACUAACCUAUUAACCGGAGGCCCAGCCUAGAAUUGUUGUUUUUUGCCUAUUUCAGAGUUUCGCAGAAAAAGAAUAUCAAACGGAGUCCAAACGGAAUGAAACCUUCAGGAACGUGAUUUUCGGAACGAACGUGAUCCAGAGGACUUGGACCCUACGUCAAGACAUCAACCAGGAAGGCGCGAGGUAGGGGGGCGCGCCUACCCCCCCCCCCAGGGCGCGCCCUCCACCCUCGUGGGCCCCAUGUUGCUCCACCGACGUACUUCUUCCUCCUAUAUAUACCUACGUACCCCCAAACUAUCAGAUACGGAGCCAAAAACCUAAUUCCACCGCCGCAACCUUCUGUACCCGUGAGAUCCCAUCCUGGGGCCUGUUCCGGAGCGCUGCCGGAGGGGGCAUCAAUCACGGAGGGCUUCUGCAUCAACACCAUAGCCUCUCCGAUGAAGUGUGAGUAGUUUACCUCAGACCUUCGGGUCCAUACUUAUUAGCUAGAUGGCUUCUUCUCUCUUUUUGGAUCUCAAUACAAUGUUCUCUCCAUCUCUUGUGGAGAUCUAUUCGUUGUAAUCUUGUUUUGCGGUGUGUUUGUUGAGACUGAUGAAUUGUGGGUUUAUGAUCAAGUUUAUCUCUGAACAAUAUUUGAAUCUUCUCCGAAUUAUUUUAUGUAUGGUUGGUUAUCUUUGCAAGUCUCUUCGAAUUAUCAGUUUGGUUUGGCCUACUAGAUUGAUCUUUGUUGCAAUGAGAGAAGUGCUUAGUUUUGGGUUCAAUCUUGCGGUGUCCUUUCCCAGUGACAGUAGGGGCAGCAAGGCACGUAUUGUAUUGUUGCCAUCGAGGAUAACAAGAUAUGUCAUCUUGCUUAAAAUGUUACUCUGUUCUUAUGAACUUAAUACUCUAGAUGCAUGCUGGAUAGCGGUCGAUGUGUGGAGUAAUAGUAGUAGAUGCAGGCAGGAGUGGGUCUACUUGUCUCGGACGUGAUGCCUAUAUACAUGAUCAUACCUAGAUAUUCUCAUAACUAUGCUCAAUUCUAUCAAUUGCUCAAUAGUAAUUUGUUCACCCACCGUAAUACUUAUGCUGUUGAGAGAAGCCACUAGUGAAACCUAUGGCCCCCGGGUUUUAUUUCCAUCAUAUUCAAUCUCCCGACAACAAGCUAUUUCUGACGCCGUUUUUACUUUGUUUACUUUACUUUGCAUCUUUAUCAUAAAAAUACCAAAAAUAUUAUCUUAUCAUAUCUAUCAGAUCUCACUCUCGUAAGUGACCGUGAAGGGAUUGACAACCCCUUUAUUGCAUUGGUUGCGAGGAUUUAUUUGAUUGUGUAGGUGCGAGGGACUUGCGCGUGGCCUCCUACUGGAUUGAUACCUUGGUUCUCAAAAACUUAGGGAAAUACUUAAGCUACUUUGCUGCAUCACCCUUUCCUCUUCAAGGGAAAACCAACGCCGUGCUCAAGAGGUAGCAGCGAGCCCGCUGUCUUCUCCCGCGCAAAAGCGGUUCAUCAGAGCAGUGAGGGCUGUCAUGGAUUUAGGUCCUUCUUGGCCGAGGUGGCGUGCAAGCCAUUCGUCCCGGACGCUAUGUCUAAAGGCCGCAAGGGCUUCUGCCCGGACAGUCGAAGAUUUGGUUCUUUUUAACUAAGAACCGAGUCCAGAGCUUCCUGGCUGAUUCUCCGGGCUGCUGGACAAUGUGACUUAGGUCAUCGGCAUCCGGUGGCCGGACAUAUGUUCCUCGGAAGUUAUCGAGGAAAGCCUCUUCCAAGUCCUCCUAGCUGCCUAUGGAAUUUUCAGGCAGGCUGUUUAACCAGUGCCGAGCUGGUCCUUUUAGCUUUAGUGGGAGGUAUUUAUUGGCGUGGAGGUCGUCCCCACGGGCCAUAUGGAUGUGGAGGAUAAAAUCUUCUAUCCAUACUGUGAGAUCGGCUGUGCCGUCGUAUGAUUCAAUAUUGACGGGUUUGAAUCCUUCGGGGAAUUCAUGAUCCAUUACUUCAUCAGUGAAGCAUAGCGGGUGUGCGGCUCCUCUAUGUUGGGCCACAUUGCGACGUAACUCUGAAGGAGUCCCUUUUCGGUAUUUGGCGCGGGUGUGGCGAGGUUUGUCACGUCCGAACAGGUAGCCAUCGUCGAGCGUCAAGGCAUGCCUUCGCGAUCCGUAGAUCGGUCUUGCGUGUCCUGCUCUAUUGUCCAAGUCCCUCUGCAGGUCGUCUGGGUAAUCGUGACCUGCGUUGUUCUUGCCUUUACGGCGAGGUGGGGCGGUCUGGUGUUCGGCUUGAGUUGCCUCUUUAUCCGGACAGAGUUGUCGGUGACCUGCCGCUUUAUGUGACGAUGGUACGGGCUCCAACACCCCGUCAUCGGACUGGUAUAUAAUUCUGUGCUUUGGGUAGCUUUUGUCUAGGUCAUUAAGGCCGUAUUCUUCGGCGACCAAGACUUCGGUCCAUCUGUCAUUGAGUAGGUUUUGGUCUGCUUGAAGUUGCUGCUGCUUCUUUUUUAGGCUCCUUGCCGUAGCUAUUAGCCUGCGCUUGAAGCGCUCCUGUUCGAGGGGCUCUUCAGGUACGAUGAAGUCUUCGUCGCCGAGGCUUACCUCAUCUUCGGAGAGCGAAAGGUAGUUGUCGUCCUCCGAACUGUCGCUGGGCAGGGCCUGUUCAUCAGGGCUCACUUGCCUGAUUUCUUGUUCCUCCUGUUUGGAUCCUCCCGCGAUAGGGUCUUCAUUGUCCGGAGUGUUACCUUCUCUGGUGCUAGUGUUGUUUUCUUUUGAGCGACGUGGCUUAGAGCGGCGCCGGGGGCGCCGGUGUUCGGAUUGUGUCCCGGGAGGCUUAUCCUCAACUGGAUCCUCUUUGUCAUCGUCGAGAUCGUCGUUGGGUGUGUCUACCAUACACACGUCAUACCAGGAAUUGGUCGUUCCUCGUCUAGUGGAUAGUGAGUUCUGGCCUUGCCCCUCAUCGUCGUCCAUAUCGUCGAUGUCUGCAGAGCCGGGGUCAAGCGUGUUGGUUGGGUCUUCGACAGUGGCUAUGAAGUGGGUGGCGGGUGGGAAACAAAAUUCUCCAUCGUCCGCCGCCAGCUCGAACCGAACAUAGUUCGGCGGCGAGUCACCUGCCAGAGAUAGAUUUUUUAGUGAGUUUAGUACGUCGCCCAUGGGCGAGUGUCGGAAGACGUCUGCAGUGCUGAACUUGAAGAUCGAUAACCGAUCGAGUUUAGUAUCUACGGACUCACGGGGUUCGGAACUUGUCGCCGGAGACGAGUCCGGGGUUCCAUGAUACAUAUAUCAUAUGAAGUAAAAUCUGCACGAGGCUCCAACGCCGCGGAAUCGGUAGCCUCCGUGAUGGGGUUGAGCUUCCCAUCUUCGGAUGACUCGAUCUGCUCCGGCUCUAGGGCCAGAGUUGUUACAGGAGCUAUCUCCUGUAUGCGGCCCGGUGGCCGAUUUAAGCCGUGCCUAGCGGGGCGAAGGGGAGCGGUUGCCGCGGUCUCAAAUCCGUCGAAGAUCAAGUCUCCAUGGAUGUCCGCGACAUAGUUCAAGCUUCCAAAUCUGACAUGAUGGCCAGGGGCGUAGCUGUCGAUCUGCUCCAGAUGGCCAAGCGACUUGGCCCGCAGUACGAAGCCGUCGAAUACGAAGAUCUGUCUGGGGAGGAAGGUAUCUCCCUGGACGGCAUCACUAUAGACAGUCGAAGGGGCCAUCAAACCUUUCGUCGACGGCAAUGAAAGCACCAAUGUCGGUGUCAAAACCAUCGGAUCUCGGGUAGGGGUCCCGAACUGUGCGUCUAAGGUUGAUGGUUUGCAGGAGACGGGGGACACGAUGUUUACCCAGGUUCGGGCCCUCUCUAUGGAGGUAAUACCCUACUUCCUGCUUGAUUGAUCUUUAUGAAUAUGAGCAUUACAAGUGUUGAUCUACCACAAGAUCGACAUGGCUAAACCCUAGAAGUCUAGCAUGUAUGACUAAGGUAAUGAGUCUCUUCCUAUCCGGACUACGCUCUCCGGUUUAUAUAGGCACCGGAGAGAUCUAGGGUUACAUGGAGUCGGUUACAUAGAAAGGAAUCUACACGAUUGAUUGCCACGCUUGCCUUCCAUGCCAAGGAGAGUCCUGUCCGGACACGGGUGCCAUCUUUGGUCUUCGUAUCUUUACAGCCCAUCAGCCCGGCCCACGGAUAACAGGCCAGACGCCCGAGGACCCCUUACUCCAGGACUCCCUCAAGGGGGUCUCGAUGGUAAUAGGAGACGGGGGACACGAUGUUUACCCAGGUUCGGGCCCUCUCUAUGGAGGUAAUACCCUACUUCCUGCUUGAUUGAUCUUGAUGAAUAUGAGUAUUACAAGAGUUGAUCUACCAUGAGAUCGUAAUGGCUAAAACCCUAGAAGUCUAGCCUAUAUGAUUAUGAUUGCCUCUACGGACUAAACCCUCUGGUUUAUAUAGACACCAGAGGGGACUAGGGUUGUACAAAGUCGGUUACAGAGAAAGGAAUCUUCAUAUCCGAACGCCAAGCUUGCCGUCCAUGCCAAGGAGAGUCCCAUCCGGACACGGGAGAAAGUCUUUUGUCUCGUAUCUUCAUGGCCCAUCAGUCCGGCCCACGUUACAUAGUUCGGACGCCCGAGGACCCCUUAAUCCAGGACUCCCUCAGUAGCCCCUGAACCAGGCUUCAUUGACGAUGUGUCUGGCAUGCAAAUUGUCUUCGGCAUUGCAAGGCGGGUUCCUCCUCCGAAUCCUCCAAAGCAGCCUUCGAACACAGGAAACGUGUCCGGCUCUGCAAAACAAAUACCACACACAACCGCAGAGAGUACAAUAUUUCACGAGUCCAAUCUACUGGCAACUUUUUGUAGCGUGACAUCACGUCACUGCCCGGUCAUUAUUUCAAACCAUUUUUAGCCUGCCGCUCCGCGUUUCAAGAUGCGGUUUCCAUUGGUACGUCUUGUCGCAGCAGAGAUCGUGUCCCCUUAUUACGGGAUUCUCAUCAAUACGGGUGUGGGUAAUCUAACCAUGCCGUCUUCACGGCCCUUGGGAAUAGGCGAGUUUUAAGGCGAGUGGGGAGGCGCUUGAUAUUCACCGCCUUUAUAAGGAGAUAAGGAUUCCUUUCUUUCACCCACACCUUCUCUCUCUCUGCCCCCCCCAUUCUCGAGCUCCAGCGCCCAAGUUCUCAUCCUUUUCGCCUCAAAAAAGCACUCCAAUCAUGUCCGGAUCCGGAGCGCAGGGCAAGUGGAUGGUCUCCUCCGUCAAGGAGAAGGACAUCACCAAGCUCCGGGAGGCCGGGUAUUUGUCCAAGGAAGUCGCCCACCGGCUUCCGGCCAAGGGGCAGAUCGUCUCCACCACGGAGCCCCAUGAGAGGGUAGUGUUCAUCCCUCACUUCAUCCGCGGGCUGGGAUUUCCUCUCCACCCAUUCAUCCGCGGACUCAUGGUCUACUACGAGCUAGAUUUCCAUGAUCUAGCCCCAAAUUCUUUCCUCAACAUCUCGGCAUUUAUUGUCGUCUGCGAGGCUUUCCCCCGCAUCCCACCCCACUUCGGAUUGUGUCUAAAGAUCUUCAAUGUGAAGCCGAAGGUGGUGGGUGGCCAGCACGUAGAGUGCGGAGGCACCAUGGCGAGCAAGAUGCCCAAUGUCACAUUGCCCGAAGGCUCCUUCGUGGAGACCGUCAAAGGGUGGCAGCAAUUGUGGUUCUAUAUCACAGAGCCCCACGAUGCCACCUGGGCCGCGGCUCCCGAAUUCAAGUCCGGAGCCCCAAUGCGGCUCACCUCCUGGCUAGAGAAGGGCCUAAAUUGGGCUUCGUCGGACGAGCUAACAGCGCUGCAGAUGCGCAUCCAGAGGAUGGUGGACAAGAACAUCAAGCUCGUCAAUGUGAUCCAGGUGAUGCUAGUUCGCCGAAUCCUUCCAUGCCAGAGCCGGGCUUGCCAUCUAUGGGAGUUCGAUCCGGCCGAGCACCAGACCUUGCAACGGUUCUUCGGAACUACGCACGAAGAUAUCUGGAAGGUGCUCUUCAAGGCCAACGAGACGUGGCCGAAGACGACCGAGGACCGUGGGCACGACCUGGCCCAUCCUGCCGGUCUGGUAAGCCUUUCGCAUUUCAAGGUGUAUCCUUUACUUGCUUAUUCAGGGAAGAUGCCUAAGCCUCCCUAUUUAUUUUUUUAGGGCUGGACAAAGAAGGCGGAGCGGAUUCAGUAUCUGGCUCCGCCGCCCGAGGAGCCAGCCAUCCCGCUUCUGACGAAGAUGCUGGUUUCGGUGCCCUACCAGGCACCGGAGAAGAAGGCCAAGAAAAAGGCCAAGGAGACCUAAAGUGGCCUCCGCCGCAAGGGCGCUUCGGACGUGACGUCCGAAGACAUCGAGCAUCACUCCUCCGCCGUCGAGGACGACGAGGAGGACGAGCAAGAAAGCAACUCCCCCCUGAGGGGGGAAGGAAGAAGAGGGCGGCCUCCACGCGUCUGGAGGCCAAAGAGUCCAAGAAGGGGAAAGUCUCCCUCGCGGAUAACUCCGAGUGGGACAUCGAUAGCAUCCCAGAGCGGCGCCCCCGAGAUAAGACCCUGGCUGAAUCGUGAGUACUCAAAGACCAUGACGUAUUCAUAUAUCCAGCCUCUUUACUUCAUAGUUUUAACAUGCUAAAUCAUGCACUUGCAGUCCGGCUCGUUCCGUCCUCGAGCAAUCCUCAUCUUCGGGGAAUUCGCUGGACCCGAAGGUGAUGGACAGCGGGUCCCUUCCGGCGGCCUCCUCUCCCAGGGCCAUGGAUGACACCGAGGUGUUGUCCCGAAGGAUCCCAGGCCAGGGAGAGACACGGGAGGCCGUCAGGGCGGCACCGGAGGGUGAACCUAGGCUAUCGGACACAUGGGGGAGCAAAUCCCCACGAAGACUGGCGAUGGGGGCCAUAUCCAAUUCGGCCCCCAGCCGAAUACGGUCCCGGAGACCUAUACGGCUCCGGAAUCCGGCAAGCAGCCUCCUUUGAAAGGAGGAGGUGUCCCUAUUCCACCGGUGACCUAUGUCCAACCAGAGGCACCUGAUACUCUAUGGAAGCGCUGCGAAGUGCUUCCAUUGUUGAGGAACACCGUGCCCUCAUGGGUACGGUGAUUGAGAAGAUUCAGUCCGCGAAGAGCGGACUGACUGAAGCCUGCGCAAGCCUUCUAACAGGCUUUGAGGUAAGAAACGCAAUUAUGUAAAAAGAAUGUCACAGUAUGGACAGUAGCCCCUGAGACUCUGUCCGGUGUUUGGAAAGAAAAGCCGGACAGAGGAUCAAAUAAUUUUCGCAAGAGACUAACCAUACAUGUCUAUGUGAAUAAGUAGGCGUCGUUGCUGGCUGUGACCUCCCACGCUGCCGAAGUCUCCGGACAGAAGCAGAGUCUGGAGCGGACCGAGGAAGAGCUCGGCCGUGUAAAAAAUCAGCUAGAGGAUAAGCAAGGUAUGCAACGGCCUAUUCAAAUCUAGAAAGAUAUGAAUUGUUUCAUGUUGAUCACAGUAUCAUGAUAUGUCGUAGUAGUUGUGACCGAGGUGGAGACCCUCAAGGCCGCGCUGGCAGAAGCCCAGAAGAGAGCGGCGGAGGAACAAUCCGUCCGCGAAAAGGACGAGGCCGUGGUCGGGGAGGUCCAGCAAGAACUCCAGGAUGCCGUGAAGAAAUGCGAGUCCUUGGAUCGCAAGAUUGCAGAUCAAGAGUCCGAGCUUGAUAAGGCCCGCCAAAGCGCCCAAGGGGCCCGGGUUGAAGCCCAGGGCGUCCUCCAGGAAACCCAAGAGGCCAAGAAAAUCGCGGCAGGUAAGGCCUUCAUUAUGCAAAGCAAAUAUGCGAAGAAGAGGUAUCUCUUACUAACCCAGAUUUGGAGUUCUCCAGGGCGUUUGCGGAUCUGCCACGCAGUGUGUCUGACGCUGCGGAAUUCUUCCGAGCCGAAGAGGGGAGCUCAAUGGAGAAGCUGUUCUGGUCGCAAUAUCUUGCGCUGGAACAUACGGUGCCUUUUAGCGAUCAGCUAAAACAGCUGGUCGAACUGCAUAGGGUGGCCUAACUGGCCAUGAGGGAUUUGAUAAUCCGGCUGUGGCCUGCCGAAGCAAUACCCAGCAGCUACUUCGGGCUUGUGAAGCGGCUGGUCAAUGCCUACCCCCGGCUUGACGUCAUCAAGCGGUCGGUCUGCAUCGAAGGUGUGUGGAUGGCCUUCGCGCGUGUCAAGGUGCAGUGGGCAAAGAUGAACGCCGUCAAGCUCACGACCGAGGGACCACCCGCUGGCAAGGAGCACUGCACGCCCGAGCGGUAUUUUGAUGAUGUCCUGGAGGGAUCCCGCAUUGUAGCGGAGCAAUGUGCUAAGGACAUUAUUUUUGAAUUGAAUUCAUUCAUGUUAUCCUGUCCUGUAUUAUGAAACAAAGCCGUUAUGUAAUAUAAUGCUUGUUUAUUAUUUGAAAUUUUACCUCCUGUGCGGCCGUUUUUAUUAAAUCUGAGAGUUGGCCAGUCGUCGGCUUCAACCCCCAUGUAGGUAGUACGGGGGUGUUCGGGAUGAAAUCUAAACACUCUUGAUCCAAAGGCUUGGUCCUUGAAGGAGGUGUUUAGCGCAACGAACCAGGCAAUCGGACUAUGUGGCUUUAUCACCCUCACUUAGCCAUAGGAGUUUGACAAUAGAAUUUUAGGCGCAGCCCCUGGUAUUCAUAAAUCCGAACUAGGGUGCUGUAAACACCUGAUCGGGUAAAGACCGAUUCGUCGCGUAAUGCGGAAAAAAUCGCAAAAGAUUUGUAACUUCCGAACAGCUGAACGGCACACGCCGCAUCAUGACAGUCAGUUUUCGGCUUUCUCUACUAAGGUGCUCAUCCAGAUAAACCAGGACACAAUCGCAGUAGUUCUCCCUUUACUACCCUAGCCGAUAUAGAGGAAUAUAAGGUAGUAAGCACAGGAGCCGGGCAACCCAACUAUUGACCACAGACAUGAUUCGGAGCCGAUGCAUAUAAUGCUAAAAUUUGGGGUGCCGAACUAUACUGUAAAAAAGUGUUCGGACUUUGUUGCCGUAGUAUGGGGCUCAAUGAAGCCCCUGGCGAAUUAAGGCGUACCAAAGUGUACGGGUGCAAUUGAUAAGAUUAUCAAGAAAAAAUGAAGUAGUAAGCUAGUGCCGCAGAAGUUGGGCCACAAACUGUUUCCAUUAUUGUUUGAUUAAUAUGUCAAAGUGUAUUUUUACAAGUAGCGCGAUAAGCAACAGGGCUAUUUAACAUGCCACGGCCAAGGGAGAGCUGCGUGCGGGUCCUGAAAACAUGUAGGGUGGUCGUCAAAAAGACUGUCGGUGUCAAAACCGGCAGAUCUCGGGUAGGGGGUCCCGAACUGUGCAUCUAGGAUCGAUGGUAACAGGAGACGGGGGACACGAUGUUUACCCAGGUUCGGGCCCUCUCUAUGGAGGUAAUACCCUACUUCCUGCUUGAUUGAUCUUGAUGAAUAUGAGUAUUACAAGAUUUGAUCUACCACGAGAUUGUAAUGGCUAAAACUCUAGAAGCCUAGCCUGUAUGACUAUGGUAAUGUGUAUGUCCCCUAUCCGGACUACGCCCUUCGGUUUAUAUAGACACCGGAGCGAUCUAGGGUUUACAAAGAGUCGGUUACAUAAGGAAUCUUCAUAGUCGAUCGCCAAGCUUGCCUUCCAUGCCAAGGAGAGUCCAAUCCAAACACGGGUACAGUCUUCGGCCUUCAUGUCUUCAUAGCCAUCAGUCCGGCCCAUGGAUAACAGGACGGACGCCCGAGGACCCCUUAGUCCAGGACUCCCUCUGUAGCCCCUGAACCUGGCUUCAAUGACGAGGAGUCCGGCGCGCAGAUUGUCUUCGGCAUUGCAAGGCAGGUUCCCCUUUUUCCGAACUCCAAGAUAGUCUUCGGAUGCGAUGACUAGUAUCCGGACCUAUCACACACACCAUACACAACCGCAGAGAGAAUAUAUUUUUACACGAGUUCCAUCCGCUGACAACUUUUUUGCAGCACGACAUUACGUCCGACCGGUCAUAAUUCCAAACCGCUUUUGUGUUCGACGCCCCACGUCCCGAGACGCGGUUGCCAUUGGCACGUCUUGUCAAAGCAGAGAGCGUGUCCCCUUAUCACGGGAUUCUCAUCAAUGCGGGCAUGGGUAACCCAACCGUGCCGUUUAUACAGCCCUUGGGAAUAGGCGAAUCUUAAGGCGAGUGAGGAGGCAUUUAACACUCGCUGCCUUUAUAACGGGAUAAUGAUUCCCUUUUCCUCUCUCGCGCCCUCUCUCGGUCUCUGCCUUUCCAAUCUUGAGCUCCAGCGCCCAAGUUCUCAUCUCCUUGCCACUCAAGCAACCAUGUCCGGAUCCGGAGGUCAGGGCAAGUGGAUGGUCUCCUCCGUCAAGGAGGAGGACAUUACUGAGCUUCGGGCGGCCGGAUAUUUGGCGAAGGAGAUCGCCCACCGUCUGCCGGCCGAGGGACAAGUCGUCCCCAUGCCGAAGCCCACCGAGAGGGUAGUAUUCAUCCCCCAUUUCUUCCGCGGGCUAGGGUUUCCACUCCACCAUUUCGUCCGCGGCUUGAUGUAUUAUUACGGGAUAGAUUGCCAUGAUUUGUCCCCGAAUUCCUUCCUCAACAUCUCGGCGUUUAUCGUCGUGUGUGAGGCCUUCCUACGCAUCCAACCCCACUUCGGGCUGUGGCUCAAAGUCUUCAACGUGAAGCCGAAGAUGGUGGAUGGCCAGCACGCGGAGUGCGGAGGAGCCAUGGUGAGUAAGCUGUCCAACGUCUCCGGGCCCAAAGGCACUUUUGUGGACACAGUAAAGGAGUGGCAGAAGCAGUGGUUCUACAUCAUAGAAGCUCGCGGCACCACCUGGGCCGCAGCUGCCGAAUUCCGCUCCGGUGCUCCCAUGCGACUCACCCCCUGGGUCGAGAAGAGUCCGGACUGGUGUUCACCUGACGAGCUGAUAGCACUGCAGACGCGCGUUCAAAGCAUGGUGACCAAGAAUGUCAAGCUCGUCGAUGUAAUCCAGGUGAUGCUAGUUCGCCGGAUUCUUCCGUGCCAGCGCCGAAGCCGCCCUCUGUGGGAGUUCAAUUCGAAGAAGCACCAGACCUUGCUAAGACUCUUCGAGACUACUCACGAAGGUGCCUGGAAGUUGCUUUUUAAGGGCAACGAGAAGCCACCGGCCACGGAUUCAGACCGUGGUCACGAUUGUAAACACCCCGCCAGCGAGGUAUCCUAUCUCUGACGUAUCCCCAACUUAAUUGUUUCGAAGAUGAUGUCUGAGUUAAUCAUUGUGUUUUCAGGACUGGAUGGAGAGGGCGAAGCGGAUCCAGUGUCCGGCUCCGCUGCCUGAAGAACCGGUCAUCCCGCAUCUAGCAAAGAUGCUGGUGCCAGCGCCAUAUAAGGCGCCGGAGAAGAAGGCCAAGAAGAAGGCCAAGGGGGCCAAGAGUGGCCCCCGUCGCAAAGGCACUCCGGACGUGACGUCCGAAGAAGACGAAGCUCAUUCCUCUGUCCCUGAGGACAAUGAUGAGGAAGAGGAGGAGGAGGAGGAGGAAAACAACCCUCCCCCUGAGGAGAGGAAGAAGAAGAGGGCGGCUUCGGCGCAUUUGGAGGCGGAAACGCCCAAGAAGGGGAAGGGCGUCCCAGCUGUCAACACCGCGUGGGACGUUGACAGCAGUCCGGAACGACACCCCCGUACUAAGCCCCAGGCCGCAUCGUAAGUGACAUGGCCCGCUCAUGCGCACAUCCGGCCCUUUCUCUUCAUUAUCUUGACAUAGUUAACUGUACUAUUACAGUCCGGCCCGCGACCUUAUCCAGCGAUCCUCAUCUGGAGGUUCGUUGGCUCCGUCGGAGAUGGCGAGCAUGUCGCCGCCGCCUGAUUAUUCCCCCGGGGCCAGGGACGACACCGAAGUGUUGUCCCGGAGGACCGCUCCGAACCGGGGAGGAGCCCAAGACGCUGUCUGGGAGGCGCCACAAGCCGAGACCUCCACUACCGGACACAUGGGGGAGCAGAUCCCCAUGGAGACUGGCGGAGAGGGCCACAUCCAGUUCGGCCCUCAGCCGAAUACGAUUUCGGAGAUCCAUAUGGCUCCGGAGUCGGGCGAGCAGCCCGCUUUGAAGGAGGGGGGUGCGCCGCUUCCACCGGUGGCCCCUGUCCAUCCAGGGGCGCCGGAUAACCUGAUGGAGGCGCUACAAGGCGCCUCCGUCGUGGACGAGCACCGUGUCCUUAUGGAUGCGGUGAUCGAGAAGGUUCAGUCCGCCAAGAGUGGACUGAAUGAAGCCUGCAGCAACCUGCUGAUAGGUUUCAAGGUAAGAAAGAGAAAAACCCCGUGUAGACAGUAGCCCCUGAGACACUGUCCGGUGUUCGGCGAGAAGAACCUGAUAGAGGAUCAAUCUUUUGUCAUAGGAGACUGACUUAAUAUGUAUGAAUAAGUAGGCGUCACUGUUGGCCGCAACCUCGCAUACUGCCGAAGUCUCUGAACUGAAGCAGAGGCUGGAGCGGAACGAAAACGAGCUCGGCGAGGUUAGGGUGCGGCUCCGGGAGAAGCAAGGUGAGUGACGACUUGCUGUGUGUUCGGAAGGAGUAGGCGUUGUAUAUUGACCGCGGUGUCGUAAUAUAUGCAGGAGCCGCGACCGAGGUCGAGGCCCUGAGGAAGGCCCUGUGCGAGGCCGAGGAGAAGGUUGUCCAGCAGCAAGUCGCCCGUAAGAAGCUCAAGGCCCGGGUCAAAGAAGUCCAGCAGGAGCUCCAGGAUGCGGUGAAAAAAUGCGAGGCCUUGGAGCAUGAUGCGUCGGUUCAAGGGGCCGAACUCGCCAAGGCUCGUCAGAGCGCGGAGACUGCACGGAAUGAGGCCCAGGCCGCCCUCCAGGAGAUCCAGGAGGCCAAGAAGAUCACGGCGGGUAAGGCAUUUAAGAUGCAAAGCAAGUAUGCGAAGAAGCAGUACCUUUUACUAACCCGGGUUCGGAGUUCCCCAGGGGCUUUUGCGGAUUUACCACGCAGUGUAUCAGACGCCGCGGAGUUCUAUCGGGCCGAAGGAAGGGGUUCUACAGAGAAGCUAUUCUGGUCGCAGUAUGCGAUGCCAGAGCAUCCUGUGUCCUUCACCGAUCAGCUGAAACAGCUGGUGGAGCUGCAUAGGGUGGCCGAACUAGCCUUUAAGGAUGUGAUAAUCCGGCUAUGGCCAUCCGAAGCUAUGCCAGGCAGCUACUUCGGACUCAUGAGGCGGAUGGUGAACGCCUAUCCUCGGCUGGACGUCGUCAAGUGCUCGGCCUGUAUUGAAGGUGCGUGCAUGGCCUUCGCCCGUUGCAAGAUGUGGUGGGCGAAGAUGGACGCCAUCAAGAUGACCAGAGGGCCACCGAAGGGCAAGGAGCACCGCACACCUGAACGGUAUUUUGCGGAUGUCCUAGAGGGGUCUCGCCUUGCGGCAGCACAAUGUUCGCAGGACAUUGUAUUUGAAUAAAUGUAUUCAUGUUGCCUUUGACUUGUAUUAUGAAAACAAAGCCUGUUUUAUAAUGUAAUUUUGUUAUGCUUUAAUUGUUUCCUCAUGUGCGGCCAUGCUGUAUGUAAUCUGAGGGUUGGCCAGUCGUCGGCUUCUGCCCUCACGUAGGUAGUACGGAGGUGUUCGGGAUGGAAUCUAAACAAUCUUGAUCCAAUUAUAUGGUCCCUGAAGGAGUUGUUUAGCGCAACGAACAAGGCAAUCAGACUAUACGGCUUAAAUGCCCUCACUUAGCCAUAGGAGUUUUAUAAUAAAGCAUGGGUGCAGCCCCUAGUUUAGGCCAGGGUGCUGUCAGCAUCUGAUCGGGAAGUGCCGAUCUUUCGCAUAAUGCGGAAAAAAUCUCCUACGAUUUGUAACCCUCGAACAGUUGACCGGCUCUCGCCGUAUCAUGACAGUCAGCUUUCGGCUUUCUCUACUGAGGUGCUCAUCUGGUCAAGGCCAGGGCACAAUCGCAGUACUUCUCCCUUUACUACCCUAGCCGAUUCAGCGGAACAUAUGGUAGCAAGCACAGGAGCCGGGCAAACCAACUAUUGACCAAAGACAUGAUUCGAAGCCAAUGCAUAUAAUGCUAAAUUCGGGGUGCCGAACUUUUCUAUAAGAAGUGUUCGGACUUUGCUGCCGUAUUAUGGGGUGAUAGGGAGCCCUUGGCGAAUAUGAGACGUACCAAAUUGUACAGAUGCGGUUGAUAAGCAAAUCGAAAUAAAAUGAAGUAAGAAGCGAAAACCACGGAAGCUGAGCCGCAAACCAUUUUCAUUAUAUGGCUCCGUCAAGGCGUGUCUUGUAUAAAUAGUGCGAUAAGCAUCCGGGCUAUUUAACAUGCCGGAAUCAAGAGGGCGCAGCGUGUGGGUCCUGAGAAAUAAGUAGAAAUACCGUCAAGAAGAACGUAUAGAGGUUACCCUACACACCUAUGCUGCUUGCCGUCCUUGUAUGUCGAUCCUUCGAAAGGACUGGUGAUCAGGCCUGCGGGAAAAGGAACCUGAAACAAAUAAAAAGAAAAAUGGGGAAAGUACGUGUGAGUCCGGGGUCGGUCAAGCCGUACUGUGGACCACAAGCUGUGCCUCCGUCGAUGCCCAUGGGAUUUUGAGUGCGUAAUUAUGUGCGCGUGGUACGAGUGCCACUACUUGAUCAGGGUUGGGAUGGAGGCCGAAUUGCUAGUCAAGCUCUUGACGAGCCGAGUUGUCCUAUUGCAGCAUAGCCCAGACCUUCUUAACGGUGUCCAGGGGCUCGGCAGCCGGAUUACGGUUCUGCUUGAAAAGGCCGCUCUGCUGCUAGGGCGGCGGUGUGCUCCUCUGUAUGGAGGGAGCGUUCCGUAUUUCCAUUGACUGUUAUGACACCGCAUGGACUGGGCAUUUUAAGCUUGAGAUAAGCAUAGUGUGGCACCGCGUUGAAUCUAGCGAACGCGGUUCGUCCGAGCAGUGCGUGGUAGCAGCUGCGGAAGGGGACGAUAUCUAAGAUUAGCUCUUCGCUUCGGAAGUUGUCCGGAGAACCGAAGACAACCUCUAGUGUGAUUGAGCCCGUACAACGGGCCUCUACGCAUGGUAUGACUCCUUUAAAGGUAGUCUUUGUUGGUUUGAUCCAUGAGGGAUUAAUACCCAUUUUGCGCACUGUAUCCUGAUAGAGCAGGUUGAGGCUGCUACCACCGUCCAUUAGGACUCGUGUCAGAUGAAAUCCGUCGAUGGUUGGGUCGAGGACCAAUGCCGCCGAACCGCCGUGACGGAUACUAGUUGGAUGAUCUGGUCGAUCGAAGGUGAUCGGGAAUGACGACCAUGGAUUGAAUUUGGGGGCGACUGGCUCUACCGCGUAGAUGUCCCUGAGUGCGCGCUUGUGCUCCCUUUUGGGAAUGUGUGUAACAUAUAUCAUGUUCACUGUUUUGACUUGAGGGGGAAACUUCUUCCGCCCCCCAGUGUUCGGUUGCCGGGGCUCUUCGUCAUCGUCCUCACUUUGUGAUCCCUUUUCCUUGUUCUCGGCAUUUAACUUGCCGGCCUGCUUAAAAACCCAACAAUCUCUGUUGGUAUGGUUGGCUUGUUUGUCUGGGGUGCCAUGUAUCUGGCACGGACGGUCGAGUAUGCGGUCCAAGCUGGAUGGUCCCUCGCUGUUCCUUUUGUAAGUCUUCUUCCGCUGGCCGGACAUGGAACCACUGAAUCCGGCAUGAACCGUAGUGUCAUCGGUGUUAUCACCAUUGCUUCGGCAUUUGUGUCUAUUGCACCGGAGUUUGCCGGUGCUGCUUUUGGCCUCGGAGGGGCCUGCCUUGUUGGCCGUGUUUUUACUACGAGCCAGUCAACUAUCUUCACCCACACAAAAGCGGGUCAUGAGUGUCGUAAGGGCUGCCAUGGAUUUCGGCUUUUCCUGGCCGAGGUGGCGGGCGAGCCAUUCGUCACGGAUGCUGUGUUUGAAGGCCGCUAGGGCUUCUGCAUCCGGACAGUCAACGAUCUGGUUCUUUUUGGUUAGGAACCUAGUCCAGAAUUUUCUGGCUGACUCUCCAGGUUGUUGAACUAUAUGACUUAGGUCAUCGGCGUCUGGUGGCCGGACAUAAGUGCCUUGGAAGUUGUCAAGAAAAGCUUCUUCCAAGUCCUCCCAGCUGCCGAUGGAAUUUUCAGGCAGGCUGUUUUACCCGUGUCUGGCUGGCCCUUUGAGCUUUAGAGGAAGGUAUUUGAUGGCGUGGAGAUCGUCUUCUCGGGCCAUAUGGAUGUGGAGGAUGAAAUCCUCGAUCCAUACUACGGGAUCGGUUGUUCCGUCGUAUGAUUCAAUAUUGAUGGGCUUGAAACCCUCGGGAAAUUCAUGAUCCAGUACUUCAUCUGUGAAGCAGAGGGGGUGUGCGGCACCUCUAUAUCGGACCACAUCGCGACGUAGCUCUGAUGGAGUCCGCCUGCGGCAUUCGGCCCGGGCGUGGUUAGGUUUAUCACGUCCAAAUAGGUAGCUGUCGUCGUGUCUCGAGGCACGUCCUCACGAUCUGUAGAUCGAUCAUGUAUGUCCUGCUCUACUGUCCAGGGUCUGCCGGAGGUCGUACGUGUGACCCCGAAUUGUUCCGCUUCUGUUUUUACGGGGCGGUGGGGCAGGCUGCUGCUCGGCCUGAGUUGCCGCUUUAUCCCGACCGUGGGGUGGUCGGUCCGCCGCACAGUCUCGACCACGUGGUGGUCGUUCCGCAUUGCGCGAGGGAGAUAUGGGCUCAGGCGCCUCCUCAUCGAACUGAGGUAGCAGUCUGCGUUUCGGGUAGCUCUUGGCUGGGCGCUUGAGGCCAUAUUCUUCGGCUGUCAGGACAUCAGUCCAUCUAUCGAUGAGCAGAUCUUGUUCAGCUUGAAGCUGCUGCUGUUUCUUUUUCAGGCUCCUUGCGGUGGCUAUGAGCUGAAGCUUAAAGUGCUCCUGCUCCAGGGGAUCCUCAGGCACGAUGAAGUCUUCGUUGCCGAGGCUCGUCUCCUCCUUGGAGGGCGGACGGUAACUAUCGUCCUUCGAGUCUUCUUCUAUGUCAUGUUCGUCUGGGCUGGCAUGCCAUGAUUCCCGAUUGUCUCGUUCGGCGGUUUGUUCAUCGGGUUCUUCUGUGUCCUCGGCACCAUCCGGAGUGUUCUCGUCUCCUGUGCCGGUGUUGCUAUCCCUGCUGCGGCGGGACUUAGAGUGGCGCCGCUGACGACGGCGCUUUGGUUGUGUUUUAGGAGGGUCCUCCUUGGCCGGAUUUUCCUUGUCAUCGCCGCUAUUUUUCGACGUGUCUACCAUGUAGACGUCAUAUGAGGAGGUGGCCGUCCAUCGUCCAGUGAAUGGCGGGUCCUGGCCUUGCUCCUUGUCGGCAUCGUCGUCCAUACCGUCGAUGUCUUCGGAGCCAUAAUCAAGCUCAUCGAUUAAGUCAUCGACAGUGGCUAUGAAGUGGGUGGCAGGUGGGAAGCUGAAUUCUCCAUCCUCAGCCCCUAGUUCGAACCGGACAUAGUUCGGCUGUGAGUUCCCCGCCAAGGACAGGUUCUUGAAAGAGUUUAGCACAUUUCCCAAAGGUGAGUGCUGAAAGAUGUCUGCGACGCUGAAUUCGAAGAUCGAUAAACGAUCAAGUUCAGCGUCCGCGGGCGUACGCAGUUCGGAACUUAUAGCCGGAUCUGACAUGGACGGUCGAGUAUGCAGUCCAAGCUGGAUGAGCCCAGAUUGCUUUUAUAUGGCUUCUUCCACUGGCCGGACUUGGAGCCACUGAAUCCGGCGUUGACUGCCGUGUCAUCGGUAUUGUGACCAUUGCUUCGACGCUUGUGUCUGUUGCGUCGGCUUGCCGUUGCUAUUUCUGGCUUCAGAAGUGCCAGGUUCGCUUGUACUGUUAUUGCUACGGGCUAGCCAGCUAUCUUCGCCCGCGCAAAAGCGGGUCAUAAGCGCCGUGAGGGCUACCAUGGACUUCGGCUUUUCUUGGCCGAGGUGUCGGGCGAGCCAUUCGUCGCGGAUGCUAUGUUUAAAGGCCGCUAGGGCUUCGGCUUCCCGACAGUCGACGAUCUGGUUCUUUUUAGUUAAGAACCUAGUCCAGAAUUUCCUGGCUGACUCUCCAGGCUGUUGAACUAUGUGACUUAAGUUGUCGGCAUCUGGAGGUUGGACAUAUGUACCUUGGAAGUUGCCGAGGAAGGCAUCCUCCAAUUCCUCCAAGCUGCCAAUUGAGUUUUCGGGCAGACUGUUCAACCAGUGUCGAGCUGGUCCCUUGAGUUUUAGCGGGAGGUAUUUGAUGGCAUGAAGAUCAUCACCGCGGGCCAUGUGAAUAUGGAGAAGAAAAUCCUCGAUCCAUACCGCGGGGUCUGUUGUCCCAUCAUAUGAUUUGAUGUUCACGGGUUUAAACCCUUCUGGGAAUUCGUGUUCCAUGACUUCAUCAGUGAAGCAAAGGGGGUGUGCGGCGCCUCUAUAUCGGGCCAAGUCGCGGCGUAGCUCGGAUGGAGUUCGUCUGCGGUUUUCAGCCCGGGCGUGGUUAUGUUUGUCACGUCCGGCCAGGUGGCCGUCGUCGCGCAUCGGGGCACGCCCCCGCGAUCCGUAGAUCGAUAUGGUCUGACCUGCUCUGUUCUCCAGGUCCUGCCGCAGGUCAUAUGUGUAUCCCCAAGCUGCUUUAUCUCUGCCUUUACGGUGAGGUAGUACGGGCUGGUGUUCAGCUUGAGUUGCCACUUUGUCCCGACCACGUGGUGGUCGAUCAGCUGCAUUACACGCUGAUGGUACGGGCCCAAGUGCCUCGUCGUCGAAUUGAGGUAGCAAUUUGCGCUUUGGGUAACUUUUGGUUGGGCGCUCGAGGACGUAUUCCUCGGCUGCCAGGACAUUAGUCCAUCUAUCGUUGAGCAGAUCUUGAUCAGCUUGAAGCUGUUGCUGCUUCUUUUUCAGGCUCCUUGCAGUGGCUAUUAGCUGGCGCUUGAAGCGCUCCUGCUCGAGAGGUUCCUCAGGCAUGAUAAAAUCCUCGUUGCCGAGGAUCACCUCAUCCUCGGAGAGCGGAAGGUAGUUACUGUCCUCCGAGUCUUUGUUUACAGCCUGUUCAUCAGGGCUGACUCGCCCAUCUUCCCGCUCGUCUUGUUCGGAGGUUGGCUUAACGGGGUCUUCAUUGUCUUCGGCAUCGUCUAGAGUAUUGUUUUCUCCUGUGCCGGUAUUGUUGUCUUUUCCGCGGCGUGGCUUAGAGCAGCGCUGCUGACGUUAGCACUUUGGCUGUAUCUUAGGUGGCUUGUCCUCGACUGGAUCUUCCUUGUCAUCGCCGCUAUUCUCUUUGGGUGUAUCCACCAUGUACGCAUCAUACGAAGAGGUGGCCGUCCAGCGUCCGGUAAACGGCGGGUUUUGGGCCUGUUCUUCUCCGGCAUCAUCGUCCAUACCGUCGAUGUCUUCGGAGCCGUAAUUGAGCAUGUUGGUUAAGUCCUCGACAGUGGCUAUAAAGUGGGUGGUGGGUGGGACGUAAAAUUCCUUGCUCUCAGCCCCUAGUCCGGGUUGGGCAUAGUUCGAACGUUGCUUCUUUGUAAUGACAAGGGAUCGUAUUAAGUCGAGAGCCUCGCUUAAAGGCGAGGUUUGGCCCGAGAGAAGAGAGCACGUGGAGUACGACGAGAGGGAAACUCCUUGGCCGAACUCACAUGAUGCUGGUUCCGAGGAUUCGGAGCCAGUGUCCGGAGAAGGGUCCGGCUCCGUGAUGGCUGCCAGCGAUACUACUUCCCCCGGCCCUCCCACAAUGGGCCUAAUGGCCGCUGAUAGUCCGGCGAGCUCAGGGAGCCCGUCUUUGGACCUGGCGAUACGCUCCGGAUCUAAGGCCAGAGCAGAGGUUGAGGGCGCGAAUCCUUGGAAGAUCAAGUCUCCUCGGAUAUCAGCGACGUAGUCCAGAUUUCCAAAACCAAUCUGGUGUCCUGGGGCGUAGCUGUCGAUCUGCUCUAGAUGGCCAAGCGAGUUGGCCCGCAGUGCGAAGCCGCCAAACACAAAGAUCAGGCCGGGGAGGAAAGCCUCCCCCAAGGCAGCGUUGUUUUAGAUGAUUGAUGGAGCCAUCGAACCUUUUGGUGACGACGCAGCGGAACUCUCAAUGAAAGCACCAAUGUCGGUGUCAAGACUGGUGGAUCUCAGGUAGGGGGUCCCCAACUGUGCGUCUAAGGUCAAUGGUAACACGAGACGGGGGACACGAUGUUUCCCCAGGUUCGGGCCCUCUCUAUGGAGGUAGUACCCUACUUCCUGCUUGAUUGAUCUUGAUGAAUAUGAGUAUUACAAGAGUUGAUCUACCACGAGAUCGUAAUGGCUAAAACCCUAGAAGUCUAGCCUAUAUGAUUAUGAUUGCCUCUACGGACUAAACCCUCCAGUUUAUAUAGACACCGGAGGGGACUAGGGUUGUACAAAGUCGGUUACAGAGAAAGGAAUCUUCAUAUCCGAACGCCAAGCUUGUCGUCCACGCCAAGGAGAGUCCCAUCCGGACACGGGAGAAAGUCUUUUGUCUCGUACCUUCACGGCCCAUCAGUCCGGCCCACGUUACAUAGUCCGGACGCCCGAGGACCCCUUAAUCCAGGACUCCCUCACCCUCCGUGGUGAUGGGUUGUGGGGGAUGGAUCUGAGGUCCCUGCCCAGAUCCGGUGGAUGGUGGGGUUGGUGUUGGCAGCGGUGGCUGGCGGCCCAGGCGCGGUGGCGGCGAGUCUCGCGGCCUCUGGGCAUCGUGGAGGUGCCGGCGGCGGUGAGUGCUUAGCCUGGUGGUGGCGGCGGCCGUGCACGGGAGUUGGAUUCCUUCGAAUAGAUCUGGGUGAAAACUUGCUUUCGGCUAUUGCCAAGGCCGGCGGUGGCGGCGUUAUCUGCAUCGCUCCCUUCUUGAAGGCAUCGCCGUGGAGAAGUUCAAGGCCACUCUCUGCUACCUCUGAGGAAAACCCUAGAUCGGAUGAUCGGAUGACGGCGGCGAUCUAGUGUCGUUCCCCCUUUGGGCGUCAUUCUUGGAGGUGCACACGUGAUCGAGGGACUAGAGGAUGGAUUCUUUGGUGGACGGUGCUUCAUCUCACUCAUGAUGGCGGCGGAUCUCGGCGGCAUGGCGCUAUGGUGACUCGGCGUCCGAUGCGCGGAGAUGGACUCGCGCAGGAGGGUGACGCGGUCUGGCGUCGUGGUGGCAUCGACGGCAGCUAGACCGGACAAGGUAGAUGCAGCAGUAUAGUUCAGAAGAUGGAUUGGUGGCAGGUGGCUGCGGCGGCCUCAUACCCGGCAGGCGUCCUGGUUGAGGAGUGCGACGGAUGCCCCAUACCCGGCAAGCGUCCUGGAUGGGACCUCAGGUCUUAGAUGGUAGGUUUGGCUGCGAGGUAUGUUUGGUAUUAAGCCCAGACUAUCCGCAUCCCUUCAUCAAUUGGAUAGGAGUAGCGACAGAUGUUGCCUAGAUGGUGGCUUUAGUCUUACUGUUGUACUUGCUUUGUAAGGUCUUGUGUGAAUAAUUAAUAAAAUGGAUGCAUGCAUCGUUCAGAUGCAGAGGCCGGGGGUCUUCCUCCAUUUCUAAAAAAACCCUUGAGAUAUUCUAGCGGUGCCACAAUCUCGUUUCUCCAAACCCGAUGAACGCCUGCUAAUUUGUCCAUGUCGCAAAAGGCUACAGAAUGAAGAUGACUAACUUAUACGAGCAAAGUCACCCUCGAAUGAACGUUUUUUUAUUGAGGGAACGUGCCCCUGCAACGCAACUAGGAUCAGAUCGCACGAGGCGAUCAGGAGGCGACGAGGACCUUGCGCGCCGCCGGUGACGCCUCCGGUUCCCUCUCUCUCUGUCGGCCGCUCCGGCGGCGGGAGGGAGAGGGAACCUCGGGUCUGUUUGCUAGGUGGGUGUGUGGUAGGGUUAGGGUUGAGGAAGACGCUACCGAGGCCGUUGCGGUGGUGUCGCGUCGGAAUAAGUUUCUCCGGGCUCCGUUCGCGGUCAGGCGAGGCUUUUGCCUUCGACUAGGAGUCAGCGGGGUUGGGGAUCCCCGGGUCUCGUCGAGGUCGCGGGCUUUGGUGGCUGGAGGUCCAUCGGCACUGGCCGUUUGGGUCCUCAGAUGGGCGAUGGAUUCAGGGAGACAAAGAUCCUUCUUUUUCCCUGUUGGUAUUAUUUGCUGAUGUUGUUCUUCUCCUUCCUCUGUGCUGAUGCUGGUGGGAGAUCCUGCUUUGUCCGGACGGAUGGCCUGGUCGCCGUGCUGGACCUGUCGGAUGACUCGAGUUCUCUUCCCUCCGGAAGGGACACUUUUCGCGGUACUCAAAGCCAAAGAUGGCGACGGCUAUUGCACGUGUGUUGGAUUGAUGUCCAUGCCCUCUCAGCGCUGGUGUCAAGAAAAGAGGAAGCAACGUAGCGGCAAUUGUACCAUGGUCGAAGAUGAUGACCUGCUUGCGACUGGUUGCAGAUCCUUCUGCUGCAGGGGUCUUCUCUCAAGAUUCAGGGAUGAUGACACAGGGCUCCGGAGAUCUUUUUGUGUUAUAGUUGUCUUAGGGUACUCUAGGUGUUCAUGGUCCUUUGUGUUUGCGUUUCAGUGUGCUUGUAAGGGUCAACUUCUUUGUACUGAUUCGUGAUAUGAAUGAAAAAAUUCUAAAAAAAAAAGCCACCCCCGAAUGGGCCAUCCAAUGGACCGACCCAAUAGACUGCCCUAUCGACGUCUGGGUUACGCAAGACAGGUCCAAGGCCAGACCAGGCCGACCUAUUUCCAUAUUUACUGAACAGGGGUAUGAUUUUCAAUCCAUGCAUAUUUUCAUGGACAGGAAAUGAACAUCCAUUAGGCGUAAAUAUGAAUUUGAUAUUACUCGACCAUGUAUACCUGACCCAUUGCCACUCCGAUGAAAAACACUAGCUGCAAAAAAAAAAAAUCAAUCUCCUCUCCCCUCCAUUGCAGCCAUCGCUCCAGUGUCGUAAGGCGGAGGGGCGUCGAUUCCUUUCUCGGUGGUGCUUGGUGUGGUGUUGCUAAGGAGCCCGAAAGAUUUUAUCCUUGUUGUUCUUCAUGGAUAACGGGUUGGUUAUGUGUGCCUACAUGGCUACAUCGACAGGGUUCCAUGUGCAUCCGUGACUUCGACAACCUCUGACUUCAAACUUUUGCGAUGACGAUAGCCUCCUCCUCCUACUGUCGUUACACUAUAUAUAGUUGCUCCGAUCUUGUAUGGAUUGAUCCAAUGUAAAUUUAAUUUAAUUUCUGGAAAAACUGACACGUUAGUACCAUCCUUUAAUACUAAAAAUAUGUUUGGCCUAUUUUCUUCCUUUUUCAUUCCAUGCCGACACUUUCAGCUUUCAUUUUCCGAAGCAAACAUGACAGACUUUUGCUAGCGGAAAGAACGUGUUUCAGGGACUGUGUAUCCCCCGUGUGUCGUCGCUUCUACCUUGAGAACAAGCUGAGACGUGGCAUCCCGGACGCGUCCAGUAGCUGCACACGUCCGGCCUCUCUUAAUUGGCGAGUCACUAGUCACCGGCUCCCACCGGCCAACCCACUCAUGCAAGCACACGUAGCGCCUCCGGCGAUCCUAUCCCCUCGCCGCAAACGGCUUAUAAAUUGCGCCUCGUGCUGGACCUGCUUCCGCAACCACGAGCUGCAGACUAACUGAGGAAGACAACACACCAGAUUUCUGAGAUAAUCAAGAUCAACACCUGUGCAACAUGGAGCACGGCCAGGCGACGACUAACCGCGUCGACGAGUACGGCAACCCGGUGGCCGGACAUGGCGUCGGCACCGGCGCCGGCGCGGCUCACAAGACCGGAGGGAUCCUGCAGCGCUCCGGCAGCUCUAGUAGCUCCAGCUCGGUGCGUGUACAUAUACUUGUUGCUUCUUGCUAACACUAGUUGUAAUUUUUGCAUUUUUCUCGUGUACAUUUUGUAUGAAACAAUAAAUCAAUUGUCUGAUUUUUCUUCUUCCUGGUGCUAGUCUGAGGAUGAUGGCAUGGGUGGGAGGAGGAAGAAGGGCAUCAAGCAGAAGAUAAAGGAGAAGCUCCCUGGUGACCACGGUGACCAGCAGCAGACCGCUGGCACCUACGGCCAGCAGGGACACACCGGAAUGACCGGCACUGGGGCGCAUGGCACCACGGCCACUGGCGGCACCUACGGCCAGCAGGGACACGCCGGAAUGACCGGCACUGGGACGCACGGCACCGAUGGCACCGGCGAGAAGAAAGGCAUCAUGGACAAGAUCAAGGAGAAGCUUCCCGGACAGCACUGAGGCCCCCGCCCGCGGCCGCUACUUAUGAAAGUUUGAGGUGCCGGUCUGGCCACCUCUGCAGAAUAAUAGGAUGGAGAGAUACAGUUGAACUUCCCGAAAUAGAGUGAGCUACCUCACUUGUAAUAUCUGAGUUCUAAGUUUGGUGGACUUGAAUUUGGGUUGCUUGUAUGUAGCCGGGACGUUUUGUACUAUGUACUUUGAUGUGUAAAUUUUCUUUUGGUUGUACUGUGUGUGUAUGGGGAUGUAUAUCAUGGUAUAAUACAAUAUAUUUUUCCCUUUUACUUGAGCUUUCUUUGUUAUUGCAUUUUUCUAAAUUUUGUCAAUAUUGUACAUAGCAUUGGAAAAUGUUUAAGAGAGUUUGGAGCAUUCUAGGCUAUUUUUGAAAAUUUUGGAAGUAUCGAAAAAUAAGGCACACCAAAAAUACACAUAGAGAUCUUCAUUUUACUAACUCAGAGGAUGUCGCAUGCGCUGUGGAUCGUUGAUGAACGGCACUGUCGGAGAUCAACAAAACAGAGUGCAUAGCGACCAAAAAAAAAUUCCCCACCAACGAAAGUUUUCUUCUAUGCUCGAGCUCACAGGCACACUGAUGAAUAGUACUCCUUCCGUAAACUAAUAUAAGAGCGUUUAGAUCACUAAUUUAGUAAUCUAAACGCUCUUAUAUUAGUUUAGUGAUCUAAACGCUCUUGUAUUAGUUUACGGAGGGAGUAAAAUAUAAAAGAAAUUAAAAAAUUCUGAUUUUUUUUACACGCUGAUGAAUGUUUUACCUACAUGUAAAAACUCAUAAUGGAAUGAUAUUUCUGGAGGUCAGGGCAAUAAAAAUAAAAUCGAUGCUCUAAAAUUAGCCUUUUUGGAUCAUUUGAUUUUUUUACCAGACCCUAAUGAAAGUGAUUUCAUCACGAAAAAUUGCAUACAUGCAAAACAGUUAUCAAUGUUUAUUAAACACGACAAGAUUGUUUCAAUUUUUUAUUUUACUGUUCAUACGGAUGCAUAUAAGCUCGAGAUUAGAAGCUCCAUGUCCUUUUCAAAGACGGUGUGGCACCGUUGAAUACGGUCGCAUUGCGAUGCUUCCAUUCAAGAAUAACAACUGAUCCAGUAAUUCCCUAAAAUUAAGAUUAUGCAUCUCCAUAAUUUCAUCCACUAUACCUGACCCAUUGCUACUCGGAUGAAAAACACUAGCUGCAAAAAAAAGAUCAAUCUCCUCUCCUCUGCGUUGCAGCCAUCGAUCCAGUGUCGUGAGGUGGAGGGGGAUCCAUUCCUUUCUCGGUGGUGCUUGGUGUGUUAUCCCUGUUGUUCUUCAUGGGGUUGGUUAUGUGUGCCUACAUCGACGGGGUUCCAUGUGCAUCGGUGACUUCGACAACCUCUUACUUCGACCUUUUCCGAUGAUGAUAACACCCCCCCCCCCCCUUCCCGCUUAUAUGCUUAGCGUGGUUGCCAAUCUCUGUUGUACGCUUGCUAUUGCGGUGACGCAAAUGAGAUUUGUUUCUCUAUAGGCCUUUACUAGUAUUUCAGUGGUUCAAUUUCUCAAUGUUGUCCGUUGUCGUCGUGGCUAUGGUGAUGCAACAACGACAAACUCAGCCACGGCUUUGGCAAGAAUUUUGAGGCAUAUAGCCAUAUUCCAUAUCGUUACCAUAUAUAUGGUUGUAUCCAAUCAUGCAUUGAUUGAUCCAACGUAAAUUUAAUUUAAAUUCUGGCAAAACUGACACGUUAGUACCAUCCUUUAAUAAUGAAAAUAUGGUUGGCCUAUUUUCUUUCUUUUUCGUUUCAUGCCGACACUUCCGGCUUUCAUUUUCCGAAGCAAACAUGACAGACUUUUGCUAGAGGAAAGAACGUGUUUCAGGGACUGUAUCCCCCGUGUGUUGUCGCUUCUACCUCGAGAAUGUUAGAAGGGAGAGAGAGGUUUGGUGGAAUUGUUCGUUGUAUUGCUUGAGCCUCGUGGGCAUAUAUAUAUAUAUAUAGGAGUACAAAGACCAACUUGGAGUAUAGACAAGGCAGGACCAAAUCCUAGUCUAUCCUAUACUUCCUAAUAACCCUUAUACUCAANNNNNNNNNNNNNNNNNNNNNNNNNNNNNNNNNNNNNNNNNNNNNNNNNNNNNNNNNNNNNNNNNNNNNNNNNNNNNNNNNNNNNNNNNNNNNNNNNNNNNNNNNNNNNNNNNNNNNNNNNNNNNNNNNNNNNNNNNNNNNNNNNNNNNNNNNNNNNNNNNNNNNNNNNNNNNNNNNNNNNNNNNNNNNNNGUCGUAACGGUUGAUGCAUCGCGGGGUCGUGGCUGGAGUGAAAACCAACGAGAUUGCUCAAGCAAGGCGGUAGUCCUUUGUGUCAUUGUCGAGGUAGCCGAGAGCGUGGGUGGUGGUGCCGUGGUCGAGGUAGCCGUGCGAAGAAUGCCUUGGUCGAUGUCGAGUCGGGGUGGCCGGUGUCGAGGAAGUCGCCGUGGAGCCGUAGGCGCAAGGAGGCGUCGAGUUAGUCAUAGGCGCAGAAGUGUCGAAGUAGUGGUGCGCCGGGAAGAAGAUGUUGUUGACGACGCGUCGCGCCAGGGUUGCCAACCCCGGGGACACAUCGUAGACGAAGGCACGCGUCGGUGUUGCCAGCACCCGGCAUGCGUAGAUGGACGAAGACGAAGUUGACGAAGCGCCGCACCAGGCUUGCCAGGCCCGGGGACACUUAAGGAAAUAUGCCCUAGAGGCAAUAAUAAAGUUAUUAUUUAUUUCCUCAUAUCAUGAUAGAUGUUUAUUAUUCAUGCUAGAAUUGUAUUACCCGGAAACAUAAUAGAUGUGUGAAUACAUAGACAAACAUAGUGUCACUAGUAUGCCUCUACUUAACUAGCUCGUUGAUGAAAGAUGGUUGAGUUUCCUAGCCAUAGACAUGAGUUGUCAUUUGAUUAACGGUAUCACAUCAUUAGGAGAAUGAUGUGAUUAACCUGACCCAUUUCGUUAGCUUAGCACUUGAUCGUUUAGUUUACUGCUAUUGCUUUCUUCAUGACUUAUACAUGUUCCUAUGACUAUGAGAUUAUGCAACUCCCGAAUACCGGAGGAACACUUUGUGUGCUACCAAACGUCACAACGUAACUGGGUGAUUAUAAAGGUGCUCUACAGGUGUCUCCGAUGGUGUUUGUUGAGUUGGCAUAGAUCCAGAAUAGGAUUUGUCACUCCGAUUGUCGGAGAGGUAUAUCUGGGCCCUCUCGGUAAUGCACAUCACUAUACGCCUUGCAAGCAUUGUAACUAAUGAGUUAGUUGCGGGAUGAUGUAUUACGGAACGAGUAAAGAGACUUGCCGGUAACGAGAUUGAACUAGGUAUUGAGAUACCGACGAUCGAAUCUCGGGCAAGUAACAUACCCAUGACAAAGGGAACAACGUAUGUUGUUAUGCGGUUUGACCGAUAAAGAUCUUCGUAGAAUAUGUGGGAGCCAAUAUGAGCAUCCAGGUUCCGCUAUUGGUUAUCGGCCGGAGACGUGUCUCGGUCAUGUCUACAUAGUUCUCGAACCCGUAGGGUCCACACGCUUAAUGUUCGGUGACGAUCGGUAAUAUGAGUUUAUGUGUUUUGAUGUACCAAAGUUAGUUCGGAGUCCCGGAUGAAAUCUGGGACAUGACGAGGAGUCUCGAAAUGGUCGAGACAUAAAGAUCGAUAUAUUGGACGACUAUGUUCGGACACCGAAAGUGUUUCAGGAGGUUUCGGACAUAUACCGGAGUACCGAGGGGUUACCGGAACCCCCCGGGGAGUAUAUUGGGCGUAAGGGGCCCUAGUGGGAGAAGAGGAGGGGCGGCCAUGGCAGCCGCGCGGCCCCUCCCCCUCUAGUCCGAAUUGGACAAGGAGGGGGCGCCCCUUUCCUUCUCUCCUUCUCUCCCUUCCUUCUCCUCUCCUACUCCUACUUGGAAGGGGGGAGUCCUACUCCCGGUGGGAGUAGGACUCCUCAUGGGGCGCGCCAUAGGAGGCCGGCCCCCUCCCCCUCCUCCACUCCUUUAUAUACGGGGAGGGGGCACCCCUUUUGGAGACACAACAAUUGAUCAUUGAUCUCUUAGCCGUGUGCGGUGCCCCCCUCCACCAUAAUCCACCUCAGUAAUAUCAUAGCGGUCCUUAGGCGAAGCCCUGUGUUGGUAGCAUCAUCAUCACCGUCAUCACGCCGUCGUGCUGACGAAACUCUCCGGCGAAGCUCUACUGGAUCGUGAGUUCGCGGGACGUCUCCGAGCUGAACGUGUGCAGAACACGGAGGUGACGUACGUUCGGUACUGAGGAUCGGUCGAUCGUGAAGACGUACGACUACAUCAACUGCGUUGUCAUAACGCUUUCGCUUUCGGUCUACGAGGGUACGUGGACACACUCUCCCCUCUCGUUGCUAUGCAUCACCACGAUCUUGCGUGUGCUUAGGAUUUUUUUUGAAAUUACUACGUUCCCCAACAGUGGCAUCCGAGCCAGGUUUAUGGGUAGAUGUUAUAUGCACGAGUAGAACACAAGUGAGUUGUGGGCGAUACAAGUCAUACUGCUUACCAGCAUGUCAUACUUUGGUUCGGCGGUAUUGUUGGAUGAAGCGGCCCGGACCGACAUUAUGUGUACGCUUACGCAAGACUGGUUCUACCGACGUACUUUGCACACAGGUGGCUGGCGGGUGUCAGUUUCUCCAACUUUAGUUGAACCGAGUUUGACUACGCCCGGUCCUUGUUGAAGGUUAAAACAGCACUAACUUGACAAAAUAUCAUUAUGGUUUUGAUGCGUAGGUAAGAACGGUUCUUGCUCAGCCCGUAGCAGCCACGUAAAACUUGCAACAACAAAGUAGAGGACGUCUAACUUGUUUUUGCAGGGCAUAUUGUGAUGUGAUAUGGUCAAGGCAUGAUGCUAUAUUUUAUUGUAUGAGAUGAUCAUGUUUUGUAACGGAGUUAUCGGCAACUAGCAGGAGCCAUAUAGUUGUCGCUUUAUUGUAUGCAAUGCAAUUGCCCUGUAAUUGCUUUACUCUAUCACUAAGCGGUAGCACUAGUCGUAGAAGCAAUAGUUGGCGAGACGACAACGAUGCUACGAUGGAGAUCAAGGUGUCGCGCCGGUGAUGAUGGUGAUCAUAACGGUGCUUUGGAGGUGGAGAUCAAAGGCACAAGAUGAUGAUGGCCAUAUCAUAUCACUUAUAUUGAUUGCAUGUGAUGUUUAUCCUUUAUGCAUCUUAUUCUGCUUUGAUUGGCGUGAGCAUUAUAAGAUGAUCUCUCACUAAAUUUCAAGGUACAAGUGUUCUCCCUGAGUAUGCACCGUUGCCAAAGUUCGUCGUGCCGAGACACCACGUGAUGAUCGGGUGUGAUAAGCUCUACGUUCGCAUACAACGGGUGCAAGCCAGUUUUGCACACGCAGAAAUAGUCGGGUUAAACUUGACGAGCCUAGCAUAUGCAGAUAUGGCCUCGGAACACUGAGACCGAAAGGUCGAGCGUGAAUCAUAUAGUAGAUAUGAUCAACAUAGUGAUGUCACCAUUGAAAACUACUCCAUUUCACGUGAUGAUCGGACAUGGUUUAGUUGAUUUGGAUCACGUGAUCACUUAGAUGAUUAGAGGGAUGUCCAUCUAAGUGGGAGUUCUUAAGUAAUAUGAUUAAUUGAACUUUAAUUUAUCAUGAACUUAGUACCUGAUAGUAUUUUGCUUGUCUAUGUUGUUGUAGAUAGAUGGCCCAUGCUGUUGUUCUGUUGAAUUUUAUUGCUAUCCUUGAGAAAGCUAAGUUGAAAGAUGAUGGUAGCAAUUACACGGACUGGGUCCGUAACUUGAGGAUUAUCCUCAUUGCUGCACAGAAGAAUUACGUCCUGGAAGCACCGCUGGGUGCCAGGACUGCUGCAGAUGCUGCUGAUGACGUUAAGAACGUCUGGCAGAGUAAAGCUGAUGACUACUCGAUAGUUUAGUGUGCCAUGCUUUACGGCUUAGAACCGAGACUUCAACGACGUUUUGAACGUCAUGGAGCAUAUGAGAUGUUCCAGGAGUUGAAGUUAAUAUUUCAAGCAAAUGCCCGGAUUGAGAGAUAUGAAGUCUCCAAUAAGUUCUACAGCUGUAAGAUGGAAGAGAAUAGUUCUGUCAGUGAACAUAUACUCAAAAUGUCUGGGUAUAAUAAUCACUUGAUUCAACUGGGAGUUAAUCUUCCGGAUGAUAGUGUCAUUGACAGAAUUCUUCAAUCACUGCCACCAAGCUACAAGAGCUUUGUGAUGAACUAUAAUAUGCAAUGAAUGGAUAAGACAAUUCCCGAGCUCUUCGCGAUGCUAAAGGCUGCGGAGGUAGAAAUCAAGAAGGAGCAUCAAGUGUUGAUGGUCAACAAGACCACCAGUUUCAAGAAAAAGGGUAAAGGGAAGAAGAAGGGGAACUUCAAGAAGAACGGCAAACAAGUUGCUGCUCAGGAGAAGAAACCCAAGUCUGGACCUAAGCCUGAGACUGAGUGCUUCUACUGCAAAAAGACUGGUCACUAGAAGCGGAACUGCCCCAAGUAUUUGGCGGAUAAGAAGGAUGGCCAGGUGAACAAAGGUAUAUGUGAUAUACAUGUUAUUGAUGUGUACCUUACUAAAGCUCGCAGUAGCACCUGGGUAUUUGAUACUGGUUAUGUUGCUAAUAUUUGCAACUCGAAACAGGGACUACGGAUUAAGCGAAGAUUGGCUAAGGACGAGGUGACGAUGCGCGUGGGAAAUGGUUCCAAAGUCGAUGUGAUCGCCGUCGGCACGCUACCUCUACAUCUACCUUCGGGAUUAGUUUUAGACCUGAAUAAUUGUUAUUUGGUGCCAGCGUUGAGCAUGAACAUUAUAUCUGGAUCUUGUUUGAUGCGAGAUGGUUAUUCAUUUAAAUCUGAGAAUAAUGGUUGUUCUAUUUAUAUGAGUAAUAUCUUUUAUGGUCAUGCACCCAUGAAGAGUGGUCUAUUUUUGUUGAAUCUCGAUAGUAGUGAUACACAUAUUUAUAAUGUUGAAGCCAUAAGAUGCAGAGUUGAUAAUGAUAGUGCAACUUAUUUGUGGCACUGUCGUUUGGGUCAUAUUGGUGUAAAACGCAUGAAGAAACUCCAUACUGAUGGACUUUUGGAAUCACUUGAUUUUAAAUCACUUAGUACUUGCGAACCAUGCCUUGUGGGCAAGAUGACUAAAACGCCGUUCUCUGGAACAAUGGAGCCAGCAACAGAUUUGUUGGAAAUCAUACAUACUGGUGUAUGUGGUCCGAUGAAUAUUGAGGCUCGCGGCGGGUAUCGUUAUUUUCUCACCUUCACAGAUGAUUUGAGCAGAUAUGGGUAUAUCUACUUAACGAAACAUAAGUCUGAAACAUUUGAAAAGUUCAAAGAAUUUCAGAGUAAAGUGGAAAAUCAUCGUAACAAGAAAAUAAAGUUUUUACGAUCUAAUCGUGGAGGAGAAUAUUUGAGUUACGAGUUUGGUCUUCAUUUGAAACAACGCGGAAUAGUUUCACAACUCACGCCACCCGGAACACCACAACGUAAUGGUGUGUCCAAACGUCGUAAUCGUACUUUACUAGAUAUGGUGCGAUCUAUGAUGUCUCUUACUGAUUUACCGCUAUCGUUUUGGGGUUAUGCUUUAGAGACGGCUGCAUUCACGUUAAAUAGGGCACCAUCGAAAUCCGUUGAGAGGACGCCUUAUGAACUGUGGUUUGGCAAGAAACCAAAGUUGUCGUUUCUUAAAGUUUGGGGCUGUGAUGCUUAUGUGAAAAAGCUUCAACCUGGUAAGCUCGAACCCAAAUCGGAGAAAUGUGUCUUCAUAGGAUACCCAAAGGAAACUGUUGGGUACACCUUCUAUCCUUUCUAGAGAAGGAUUUUCUCUUGAAAGAAGUGAGUGGGAGGAAAGUAGAACUUGAUGAGGUAACUGUACCUGCUCCCUUAUUUGGAAGUAGUUCAUCACAGAAACCGGUUUCUGUGACACCUACACCAAUUAGUGAGGAAGCUAAUGAUAUUGAUCAUGUAACUUCAGAUCAAGUUACUACCAAACCUCGUAGUACAAUCAUAGUAAGAUCCACACCAGAAUGGUACGGUAAUCCUAUUCUGGAAGUCAUGUUACUUGACCAUGGCGAACCUACGAACUCUAAAGAAGCGAUGGUGAGCCCAGAUUCCGCAAAAUGGCUUGAGGCCCUGAAAUCUCAGAUGGGAUCCAUGUAUGAGAACAAAGUGUGGACUCUGGUUGACUUGCCCGAUGAUCGGCAAGCCAUAGAGAAUAAAUGGAUUUUCAAGAAGAAGACUGACGCUGAUGGUAAUGUUACUGUCUACAAAGCUCGACUUGUUGCAAAAGGUUUUCGACAAGUUCAAGGGGUUGACUACGAUGAGCUUUCUCAGCCGUAGCGAUGCUUAAGUCUGUCCGAAUCAUGUUAGCAAUUGCCGCAUUUUAUGAUUAUGAAAUUUGGCAAAUGGAUGUCAAAACUGCAUUCCUGAAUGGAUUUCUGGAAGAAGAGCUGUAUAUGAUGCAACCAGAAGGUUUUGUUGAUCCAAAGGGUGCUAACAAAGUGUGCAAGCUCCAGCGAUCCAUUUAUGGACUGGUGCAAGCCUCUCGGAGUUGGAAUAAACGUUUUGAUAGUGUGAUCAAAGCAUAUGGUUUUAUACAGACUUUUGGAGAAGCCUGUAUUUACAAGAAAGUGAGUGGGAGCUCUAUAGCAUUUCUAAUAUUAUAUGUGGAUGACAUAUUGUUGAUUGGAAAUGAUAUAGAAUUUCUGGAUAGCAUAAAAGGAUACUUGAAUAAGAGUUUUUCAAAGAAAGACCUUGGUGAAGCUGCUUAUAUAUUGGGCAUCAAGAUCUAUAGAGAUAGAUCAAGACGCUUAAUUAGACUUUCACAAAGCACAUAUCUUGAUAAAGUUUUGAAAACGUUCAAAAUGGAUCAAGCAAAGAAAGGGUUCUUGCCUGUGUUACAAGGUGUUAAGUUAAGUCAGACUCAAUGCCCGACCACUGCAGAAGAUAGAGAGAAAAUGAAAAGUGUUCCCUAUGCUUCAGCCAUAGGCUUUAUCAUGUAUGCAAUGCUGUGUACCAGACCUGAUGUGAGCCUUGCUAUUAGUUUAGCAGGGAGCUACCAAAGUAAUCCAUGAGUGGAUCACUGGACAGCGGUCAAGAACGUCCUGAAAUACCUGAAAAGGACUAAGGAUAUGUUUCUCGUUUAUGGAGGUGACAAAGAGCUCGUCGUAAAUGGUUACGUCGAUGCAAGCUUUGGCACUGAUCCGGACGAUUCUUAAUCGCAAACCGGAUACAUGUUUUUAUUGAACGGUGGAGCUGUCAGUUGGUGCAGUUCUAAACAAAGUGUCGUGGCGGGAUCUACUUGUGAAGCAGAGUACAUAGCUGCUUCGGAAGCAGCAAAUGAAGGAGUCUGGAUGAAGGAGUUCAUAUCCGAUCUAGGUGUCAUACCUAGUGCAUUGGGUCCAAUGAAAAUAUUUUUGCGACAAUACUGGUGCAAUUGCCUUGGCAAAGGAAUCCAGAUUUCACAAGAGAACCAAGCACAUCAAGAGACGCUUCAAUUCCAUCCGAGAUCCAGUCCCGGUGGGAGACAUAGAGAUUUGCAAGAUACAUACAGAUCUGAAUGUUGCAGACCCUGAUUAAGCCUCUUCCACGAGCAAAACAUGAUCAGCACCAAGACUCCAUGGGUGUUAGAAUCAUUACUGUGUAAUCUAGAUUAUUGACUCUAGUGCAAGUGGGAGACUGAAGGAAAUAUGCCCUAGAGGCAAUAAUAAAUUUAUUAUUUAUUUCCUCAUAUCAUGAUAAAUGUUUAUUAUUCAUGCUAGAAUUGUAUUAACCGGAAACAUAAUACAUGUGUGAAUACACAGACAAACAUAGUGUCACUAGUAUGCCUCUACUUAACUAGCUCGUUGAUCAAAGAUGGUUGAGUUUCCUAGCCAUAGACAUGAGUUAUCAUUUGAUUAACGGGAUCACAUCAUUAGGAGAAUGAUGUGAUUGACUUGACCCAUUUCGUUAGCUUAGCACUUGAUCGUUUCGUUUACUGCUAUUGCUUUCUCCAUGACUUAUACAUGUUCCUAUGACUAUGAGAUUAUGCAACUCCCGAAUACCGGCGGAACACAUUGUGUGCUACCAGACGUCACAAAGUAACUGGGUGAUUAUAAAGGUGCUCUACAGGUGUCUCCGAUGAUGUUUGUUGAGUUGGCAUAGAUCAAGAAUAGGAUUUGUCACUCCGAUUGUUGGAGAGGUAUCUCUGGGCCCUCUCAGUAAUGCACAUCACUAGAAGUCUUGCAAGCAAUGUGACUAAUGAGUUAGUCACGGGAUGAUGUUGCACUACGGAACGAGUAAAGAGACUUGCCGGUAACGAGAUUGAGCUGGGUAUUGAGAUACCGACGAUCGAAUCUCGGGCAAGUAACAUACCGAUGACAAAGGGAACAAUGUAUGUUGUUAUGCGGUUUGACCGAUAAAGAUCUUCGUAGAAUAUGUAGGAACCAAUAAGAGCAUCCAGGUUCCACUAUUGGUUAUUGACCGAAGACAUGUCUCGGUCAUGUCUACAUAGUUCUCGAACCCGUAGGGCCUGAACGCUUAAUGUUCGGUGACGAUCGGUAUUAUAAGUUUAUGUGUUUUGAUGUACCGAAGGUAGUUCGGAGUCCCGGAUAUGAUCACGGACAUGACGAGGAGUCUCGAAAUGGUCGAGACGUAAAUACCGAUAUAUUGGACGACUAUGUUCGGACACCGGAAGUGUUUCCGGAGGUUUCGGACAUAUACGGGAGUACCGGGGGGUUACCGAAACCCCCCGGGGAGUAUAUUGGGCGUAAUGGGCCCUAGUGGGAGAAGAGGAGGGGCGGCCAGGGCAGCCGCGCGCUCCCUCCCCCUCUAGUCCGAAUUGGACAAGGAGGGGGGCGCCCCCUUUCCUUCUCUCCUUCUCUCCCUUCCUUCUCCUCUCCUACUCCUACUUGGAUGGACCGGGAGUAGGACUCCUCAUGGGGCGCGCCAUAGGAGGCCGGCCCCCUCCCCCUCCUCCACUCCUUUAUAUACGGGGAGGGGGCACCCCUUGGAGACACAACAAUUGAUCAUUGAUCUCUUAGCCGUGUGCGGUGCCCCCCUCCACCAUAAUCCACCUCGGUAAUAUCGUAGCGGUGCUUAGGCGAAGCCCUGCGUCGGUAGCAUCAUCAUCACCGUCAUCACGUCGUCGUGCUGACGAAACUCUCCGACAAAGCUCUACUGGAUCGUGAGUUCGCGGGACGUCUCUGAGCUGAACGUGUGCAGAACACGGAGGUGUCGUACGUUCGAUACUGAGGAUCGGUCGAUCGUGAAGACGUACGACUACAUCAACCGCGUUGCCAUAACGCUUCCACUUUCGGUCUACGAGGGUACGUGGACACACUCUCCCCUCUCGUUGCUAUGCAUCACCAUGAUCUUGCAUGUGCGUAGGAAAUUUUUUGAAAUUACUACGUUCCCCAACAGACACGUCGUGGAUGAAGGCAGGCGGCGGUGUUGCCAGCAUCGGGCAUGCGUAGACUGGGACCUGCACGAGCUGUACGCGAUGUCGAAGAAGUCGAAGAGGCCAGCAGAGAAGGACUCGACGACGGUUGCGGCGCCAAUCAGCACGGGGCCGAUGUCGCCCGCGGUUGUCGGAGUAGACGAAGUGGUCGGGGUAGAUGACGGCGACGCUGGCGACGGGCUGGUGCUGGACGAAGAGUAAGGGGGUGGACGGGCGACUGCGGCGGCUACAGGGAUAGCAGCGGCGGCGACGGCUAGGUUAGGAGCGCGGCGGCGGUGCUCGAAGUAGGCGAAGAACCCUGACAACGUGACGAAGACCGGCGGGGACGGUGGCAUUCCCGCGCCAAGGGAGACGGUGCGGCGCAUACCAAGGGAGGUAGACACGCGGUGACGGUGGAGUGGACCGCGGGCUGCGGCGCUACGGACCGAAGGGGCGAUGCAACGGCGGCGGGCAGGUUGGGGCGACGGCACGAAGACCUCGGGGCGGCGGCGGGGACCGCGGGCCGCGGCGCUACGAGCCGAAGGGACGGUGCAGCGGCGGAGCGUGGGUCGGUGCAAUCGCGGGGACGGCGGCUGGGACCGUGUAUCGCGGCACUACGGCCCGUAGGGGCGACGUAGCGGCGACGCACGAGUCAAUGCAGCCGCGAGGAGAACCACGGGGCGGCGGCGCUGCGGCCCGACGGGGCGACGCAGCGGCAGCCUGUUGCUCGAUCGGCGGAGGGGCGCGCUGAACUCGGGGACAAUCUUCACGGGACCUGCGGAGGCGCGCGCAACUAACGGGUCAGGUUGGUCACGCGGCGUAGAUGAGGCGGAUCGCGGCGGCGAGCGGGUGAUCAAGUUAGUCGCGCGCGAGGUCGGGGACGCCGCUCGAUGGAGGCGUAGUGGCGGCGGAGUCCGGGAUGAGGCCGGCGACGACGGACGGCGUGGGACGUCGUGCGAACGAGUGUGUCGGCACCGGCACCCGGGCAGCCAAAGCAGCGCCGGCGCCCAGGCAGCGAGCCCCGAGCGACCAAUGGUGCAGCGGCGCACGAGUUGAGGCAUCCGACGAGCGUGACGCAGCCGUCCCGACGCAGCCGAAGACGAGGCCGGCGAGGUAGACCGCCGGGCCGCCGUGCAGACGCGGCGGAGGCGGGUGGCGUCGAUCGAUUGGCGGGCCGGCGCGCGAGCGGCGGCUAUGAUUGGCCGUCGCGUGGCGCGAGGCCGCCGGGUGAAGGCGAUGCAGGUGUCCCGGUCGGAGAGGGCGCAAACGGUCGGCGUAGAUUGACGGGCGGGCCAGCGCGUAGACGACGACAGUGAGGGGCCGCCUGUCGCGCGAGGCCGCGGGGUCGGUGAAGGAGCCGGCCGGUCGCGACAGUGUCAGAGUAGAAGCGCAUGGAGGUCGACGGCGGCGGCGGGCGACGCAAACCGGUCAAGUAGAUCGGAAAACCAAAAGGAAAAACGCCGAUCAAAACGACCGGCGAGAGAGCGAAAAAACCCGGAGCAAGGGUUCGGGAAAAAGACUCUUUAGGGCAGCCAGCCAACACGGCCGGCGUACGAACCCUAGGUACGGGCGGCGCGGCCUCCGGCGGCGGUCAUGGCGGCCGACCGCCCCGGAGGCGGCGUGCGGGUGCGGAAGCGGCAGCGGCUAGGUUUUGAAUCAUGAUUAGGCUGAUACCAUGUUAGAACGGAAAGAAGUUUGAUGGAAUUGCUCGUUGUAUUGCUUGAGCCUCGUGGGAGCCAAAUACUAGUCUAUACUCAAUAGAGAACAAGUUGAGUCCGUGGCAACCCGGACGCGUCCAGUAGCUGCACACGUCCGGCCUCCCUUUAUGGGCGAGUCACCACCGGCUCCCGCCGGCCAGCCCACUCAUGCCUGCACACGUAGCGCCCCCGACGAUCCUAUCCCCUCGCCGCAGACGGCUUAUAAAUCGCACCUCGUACUGCACCUGCUUCCACAACCACAAGUUGCAGCCAAGUGAGCAAGACAACACACCAGAUUUCUGAGACAAUCAAGAUCAGCACCUGUGCAAGAUGGAGUACCAGGGACAGCAGCAGCACGGUCAGGCGACUAACCGCGUCGACGAGUACGGUAACCCGGUGGCCGGACAUGGCGUCGGCACCGGCAUGGGCGCGCACGGCGGCGUCGGCACCGGCGCGGCCGCUGGUGGGCAGUUCCAGCCCUCGAGGGAGGAGCACAAGGCCGGAGGGAUCCUGCAGCGCUCCGGCAGCUCUAGUAGCUCCAGCUCGGUGCGUGUUUACGUACUUCUUUCUACUCCGUAAUUAAACUACGUUUCCAUAGUUGCAUGCGUGAAGAUUAUGCAUGAAGAAGCAUUAAUGACUGAUUUUUUUCCCGUUCGUGGUGAUAGUCUGAGGAUGAUGGCAUGGGCGGGAGGAGGAAGAAGGGCAUCAAGGAUAAGAUUAAGGAGAAGCUUCCGGGUAGCCACGGCGACCAGCAGCAGACCGCUGGCACCUACGGGCAGCAAGGUCAUACUGGAACGGCCGGCACCGGCGGCAACUACGGCCAGCCCGGACACACCGGAAUGGCUGGCACCGACGGCACCGGUGAGAAGAAGGGCAUCAUGGACAAGAUCAAGGAGAAGCUGCCCGGACAGCACUGAGCCCCGCCCGCGGCCGCUACUUGUGAAAGUCUGGCCAC
rnacentral:lncRNA from 1 species